UAAAAUAUCGGUUGAUAGCACUACGCACCAAGCCGCAAAUUCGACAGACCAACAUAAGGCCGCAGGUAGCAAUAGAUAUACCACAUCCACUCCAUGGCUUGCAACGAAAACACAACACCCCACUACUCCACAGAGGCUAAGCUUGGAAGACCCCCGCGUCGAACGAAAACGGGUCAGGGAAAGAGAAAUCCGCCCCGGUUUUGAAGUUCCAGGGAGCACCCCCUGGUUGUCCCUGGUUCACAACCACAAACUGGUAGCUGGACUCAGAUGCCAUGUUUCCGCAGCUGUGUCUCACCUUGGCCACCGCCUCCUUCGUCGAGUACGGUGUGAAGCGUGGAUUGGCCAUCACGAUGAACGCGGACCGCAGCGAGCGCGCGCUACCGAAGAACUCCAGGAAGCCAACCUCACCAGUGUCCCCUCGGAACUCGCGGAGGCACAUCGUGUGGAUGCGCAAGACGGCAUUUUCGAUGGGACCAGACUCCUCCCAGAACUUGCGGGUGAGGUGGUUACCAGUGGGUUGAUCGCAUCUUUUGCUCUGCAAAAAACAGAUUAGAUCGGUCAAUAGUUGGACGUACCAGAAUUCAAGAGGCAAAGCAAUAUAAAUCAAAAUAUCAGUAACAAAUAUCAUAACAUAAACAGAUGAACAUGAGUACAGACGACCUGAUUAUUGAGAAUAAAUGGUAAUGCUUGGCUUAUUUUAGCUAUAUUGGUCUAGAAUAAGAAUGUACUGUAUAUGAUAUUUUGUCAGGUAUGCCUAGUCAUAAUAACGCCGUUAUCAUCAUCUUAUUCUGUUAUUCACGGGCAAAUUACUCAGCCUAGCAUGCAUAACACAAUAUGUAAGGGCAUUUUUAUCCUUUAGUUGGUUUUGGUGAUUGAUGACAAUACUUUUGCGGACUAAUCAUGUGCAUCAAAUAUUUCAGAUAUAUUGACUAGGCACAAGAUGUUUUGGUUCCCCUCGAAGGCUAUGGAAGACGGCGUUUCUCUUCGGUUCUUUUCGGUGGUAUUGAGUCGUAGGGAAGCCGUACUAUUAAGAGGGGGUCCGCGUUGGAAAGGUUGGGUGGAUUCAUCACGUACACAUCUUCCUUUGCACCUCCUUUCCUCUAGCCUUUGGAGCAUCCUAUGUUUUCCUUGUCUAUGCAAUAUUGCUCUUGCUUGCCGAACUAAGGCAUGCGGUAGUACUGCUCCCUAGAGCAGUAGUACCGCAGGACCUUGCGGUAGUACCGCCAGCUGGUGCGGUAGUACCGCAAGGGCCCACGGUAGUACCGCUUCUAGUAAGCGGUAGUACCGUGGUCCCUGACUUAGUUCCGCAAGUAUGCGGCAGUAAGGGGCGGAUGUAAUUUUUUACAUCCGCGCCCCGCGCAGUAGUACCGCAGCUGGCUUACGGUACUACCGCGUCGGGUUUUUGCAUCGACUCCAACUCUGCGGAAGUAGCCACGGAUGUAAUUUUUUAUAUCCGUGCCUUCCCAUCCCUGGAGAGUCCCUGCCUUGCGGUAGUACCGCAAGGGGGAGCGGUAGUACCGCGCCAGUAGUACUACCGCCCUCUGCCUUAGUGCACCUUUGGUUGUUCUGGUCUCUGCUGUGUGGGCGGUAGUACCGCGGGGCCCUGCGGUAGUACCGCGUGCCCCUGCGGUAGUACCGCGCCUCAGGUGCGGUAGUACCGCGCUGCGCAGGCUGAGUUGGUGGAUAACGGUUGGAUUUGUCGUUCCACUAUAUAAGGGGUGUCUUCCUCCUCUAAUUGACCACCUCUUCCACCUCCAUGCUCCAUUGUCGCUCCAAGCUUCAUUUUCGCCCGAUCUCCUUCCCUAGCCAAUCAAACUUGUUGAUUCUCUAGGGAUUGGUUGAGAAGGCCCCGAUCUACACGUCCACCAAGAGAAAUUUGAAUCCCCCCACUAAUCCCUUGUGGAUCUUGUUACUCUUGGGUGUUUGAGCACCCUAGACGGUUGAGGUCACCGCGGAGCCAUAGUCCAUUGUGGUGAAGUUUCGUGGUAUCGUUGGGAGCCUCCAAUUAAGUUGUGGAGAUUGCCCCAACCUUGUUUGUAAAGGUUCGGUCGCCGCCUCCAAGGGCACCAAUAGUGGAAUCACGACAUCUCGCAUUGUGUGAGGGCGUGAGGAGUAUACGGUGGCCCUAGUGGCUUCUAGGGGAACAUUGUGCCUCCACACCGCUCCAACGGAGACGUACUUCCUCUCAAGGGAAGGAACUUCGGUAACACAUCCUCGUCUUCACUGGCUCCACUCUUGGUUAUCUCGUGCCUUUACUUGUGCAAGCUUAUUUGUGUUGUAUCUCUUGCUUGUGUGUGUGCUUAUUGUUAUUGCAUCAUAUAGGUUGCCCACCUAGUUGCAUAUCUAGACAACCUACUUUGAUGCAAAGUUUAAAUUGGAAAAGAAAAGCUAAAAAUUAUUAGUUGCCUAUUCACCCCCCUCUAGUCAACUAUAUCGAUCCUUUCAAUUGGUAUCAGAGCCUCGUCUCUUUAUUAAAGAUUUUACCGUCCGAAGAGUAUGGUUGACGUCGUAGACGGUGUGGAGGAGCACUCCGGUGUGAAUCCGGUCUCGUCUACGGGAGAUGGGGGAACCGCGGUCUCUCGUGAGGAAUUCAAUGUGGCGUUGGACACAUUGAAAACCUCCAUGACGACCGAGGUCGAAAGCAUGUUUAAUAAAUUCUUAGAAGGGCUUAAACUUUCCACCGCACCAUUGAAAGUGGGUGAUCCCACUAACAAGGUGACGGAUGCUACCUCCGACAAGGGGGAAGCUACUAGCGAGAAAGCUCCUUCUUCUAGUGGUAAAAAUGGCACCAACAUCUUUGCCCAUGUGGAACCUCCACCUGUCUAUGGUGGACCGCUUCCUUCCACUCAUUUGAAUCAUGCCGGCCCUGCCCCUAAGAUUGAGAAGAAUGUAGAAUUUGAUUCUUGGGUCUAUCAUUUUAAGCGUCAUUUAAAUCAUGUGAACACUAACCUUUGGAGAAUCAUUGAAGAAGGUUUCUAUCCGCAUGACCAAAGCAACUUCACUCCUAGAGAAGUCGUGGACCAUCAAUUCAAUGAGAAUGCUCUCUUCAUCAUCCAAGAAGCAAUCCCACCAGAAGAUCUUCCUCAUCUCCGGCCUUACACCAAUGCCAAAGAUGCUUGGCAACAAGUGAUUUCCCUCUAUCGGGGAAGCGCAAGCAUUCAACGCUCCAACUAGAAGUGGUGCAAGAUGAAGCCGAUGAGUUUGCAAUGAAAGAAGAUAAAGAACCUCGUGAGCUUUAUCGGAGAGUAACCAAACUCACGGUCUCUCUCCGAGAUCAUGGAAGUAAGGACACGGAUGACAAUUGGAUCAAGCGCAAAUUCCUCAAGGCAAUGAUGCCCUACCACAAAGCCAUGUCCUCCGUCAUUCGUCAAAGGCCGGACUUCCACACCUUGUCCUCAAGUGAAGUGUUGGAUGAGUUCGUUGCUAUGAGCAUCUUGGACAAGACCGCCGACAAUGCAGUUCUUCGCUCUCAAAGAGUAAAGAAGCCCAACCUUGCUCUAAAGGCCAAGGUUAGUAUGGAGGAAGAGGAUGAAGAGGAAGAAGAGGAGAGCAACCUCGAAGAUACGAAGUAUGCCUAUCAUGAGCACAUGGCUCUUGCUUCAAGGGAAUUUUAGAGCAAGAAGAACUCAAGGCCAAACUUCAACAAGAACAAUUCAAGUGGCGCAAAGGGCAAGCAACGAGUGAGGACUUGCUUCAAUUGUGGCAAUGUGAGCCACUUUGUUGCGGAGUGCCUUACGAGAGGAGGGAAGACAAUGGUGGCAAGCUCAUCCGAAAGGACAAGGCCAAGUCGUUCCCCAACAAGAGAAACUUCACCAAGAAGACUCCUCCCAAGGCAUUGGUGGUACAAGAAGAGUACAAUGAGGAUGAUGACGAUAAUGAAGAUGGUGAGUCGGUUGCCAUGGCCUCCAUUGCCAUUGCGAUGACUCCACGGAUGUCUCUCUUCGACUCACCCAAUGAGAACAUCACCACCAAGUGCCUCAUGGCUAAAGCCACCAACAAUGUAACCCCAACAUCAAAACUACCAUCAUUAAUCAUCCUUCUUCGACGGAUAGCUUUGAUGAACAUGAGGGGACAAAUGUGGAGAAGAAUGAGUUUGAGACCUUUAUGGGUAAACUCAAGGGUAAAUCCAAGAAGCACUUCGUUGCUCUCUUGGAACAACUUGGUGAAGCCAAUGACAUGAUCGAGGCUCACGAAGAUACCAUCUCUAAGAUGGAGGGGCAUAGUCGUGACUAUGCCGAUGAGAUUUCGGGUCUUUCCAAUGCUCUUGACGAAGAGCGUGGUCUUCGUUUGGCUCUUGAGGAGUCACACAACGAUGAUCAUGCUAAGUUAAAGAAAGAUCUUGAUCAUGCUCUUGUUGUGUCUCGUGUGCUAAACUCCGAGAAGGCAAAGCUUGGGGUUGAUCUUGCUAGACUCAAAGAGGAUUUUGACAUUCUCGACAAGGCUCACAAAGUCUUGAAGGGUGUUCAUGCUAGCCUCAAGGAGUCUCAUGAUCAACUCCAAGUGAAGCUAACUAAGGAGAAAGCCACCUUUCCUCAUAUGGUGUUAAUUGAUAAUGCAAAUGCUACUAACCCAUGUUGUGAGCAUGUGCAUCUUGUUGAGGAGAAUGCUAAGUUGAAGGACCAACUUGAGAAAGGCCUUGUGUCAUGCAUACAAGGUGAGAAGAACCUCAACGACCUUUUGAGCAAUCAAAAGGAAGUUGUGGCCAAGGAGGGGAUUGGGUUCGCACCCAAUCCCAAGAACAAGAAGAAGAAUGACAAGACCAAACGACCUCCUCCUCUCAAGCAAACGUUUGUGAAGGAGGGAGAGGGUGCUUCCAAGGAGAAGAAGAACAAUGCGAAGGGUGGCGGUGUCAAGAAGGGCAAUGCCACUCCUUCCAACAAAGCCGGCGACUUUAAUCCUUCUUAUGUGUUAUGCCAUGCUAGUGAUGGGCAUGUUUAUGCCAAAUUUGUUGGUUCUCCUCAUGAGUACAUUGAAUGGUCUAUUUGGGUUCCUAUGACCCUUGUUACUAACAUCAAAGGACCCAUUACAAAAUGGGUACCUAAAACCAAGCAUUGAUCUCUUGUAGGUGUUUGCUUCCGAUGGGGGAUCAUGGUUGCUCGAUAGUGGAGCUACAAAUCAUAUGACCGGAAGCAAGGACUUGGUGGUGGACGUGCACAAGAUUCCAUCUAUGCCCACCAAUGUUGAGUGGGGUGAUGCCUCGUCUCCUAAGGUAUUGGGACUCGGCAAAGUUGUCAUUUCUCAUGAUCUCACGAUCGAGAAGGUCAUGCUUGUUGAGUCCCUUGCAUACAAUUUACUUUCCGUUCGUCAACUUGCAAUCAUGGGCUUUGCCACUUUCUUUGAUAUUGAUACCGUGGCCCUCUUGUGGAGCAAGACUCCUAAAGUAGCCUUUGUUGGGCAUGUCGAGAACGGUCUCUAUGUGAUUAACCUUUUGGAGCGACCCACUAAGACCGCGACAUGCCUAAUGGCUAAAGUUGACGUGGGAUGGCUUUGGCAUCGCCGUUUAGCCCAUGUCAAUAUGAGAUCUUUGCAAAGUCUUCACAAGGGGGACCAUGUCCGUGGACUAACGAAUGUUAGUUUUGCUAAAGAUCGUGCUUGCAGUGCUUGUAUCGAAGGAAAGCUACAUGAGAAGGCUCACCCUCCCACGACUAUCAUUUACUCGAAGAGGCCUUUGGAGCUCCUUCAUUUGGAUCUCUUUGGGCCUCCAUCUUUUGAUAGUCUUGGGGGUAGGAAGUAUUGCUUGGUGAUUGUGGAUGACUAUUCAAGAUACACUUGGGUGUAUUUCUUCAAGAGGAAGAGUGAGACCCAACAAACCGUCAUUGACUUUGCAAAUGAAGCCCAACGUCAACACAAUGCAAAGAUCUUGACAAUAAGAAGCGACAACGGCACCGAGUUCAAGAACUACACCUUGGAUGAGUUUCUUAGUGAUGAGGGGAUCAAGCAUCAAUAUUCCGCACCUUACACCCCUCAACAAAACGGUGUUGCGGAGAGGAAGAACCGGACGUUGAUGGAUGCGGCAAGGACCAUGAUGGCGGAGUUCAAGUCUCCAUACAACUUUUGGGCCGAAGCCAUCAACUCCGCGUGUCAUGCAUCCAAUCGGCUCUACCUCCGCAAGGGCUUGAACAAGACUCCAUAUGAGAUACUCACCGGUAACAAGCCCAACCUCAACCUCAAGUAUUUUCGGGUGUAAGUGCUUCAUUCUCAAGAAAGGUGUUCGGUUGUCUAAAUUUGAGGCUAGUGCUUAUGAGGGCAUAUUUGUUGGUUAUGCUACAAACUCUCAUGCUUACUGUGUCCUCAAUAAAUCCACGGGACUUAUUGAGGAGACGUGUAACGUGGAGUUUGAUGAGAAUAACGGCUCCCAAGUGGAGCAAAGUGGCACUUGUGAUGUAGGUGAUGAAAUUCCUCCUCAAGCCAUAAGAAGAAUGGGAAUUGGUUUUAUCCUACCCAUUGAGGAACCCCUUGUGGCCGAAGGAGAAGGACAAUGCUCCACUCAAGUGGAGCCAUCACCAAACCAAGGCCCACACGCUUCCGAAGAACAAAGUGAAGGCCCUCACCCUCAUGAACAAGACCAAGGGCAAGAUCAUGCUCAAGACGGUGUUGACACACCAAGUGAUGCCCAAGGUCAAGUUCUCUCCUUCGAGCAAGUUCAAGAUCAAGAACAAGCUCAAGACGACGCUCAAGAUGAUCAAGUGACCGCUCCUCAACUCACCACCGAGGAAGAAUUGGAGCGUCGUGCCGCCAAGAUUGCAUCCAAGCUCUCCACCAAGGGUCAUCUCAUGAAGAAUGUGCUUGGAAGCAUUCAAAAGGGGGUAAGCACUCGUAGACAAUUGGCAAACUAUUGUGAACAUCACGCGUUUGUCUCUUGUGUUGAACCCCAAAAGGUAUAUGAAGCACUCGAAGAUCCGGAUUGGCUUAAUGCCAUGCAUGAAGAACUCAACAACUUCGAGUACAAAAAGGUGUGGAGAUUAGUGCCGAGGCCAACGGGGAACCACAAUGUCAUUGGAACCAAGUGGAUAUUCAAAAACAAGCAAGAUGCUCAUGGGACCAUCAUUCGCAACAAGGCACGAUUGGUGGCACAAGGCUACUCCCAAGUCGAGGGUAUCGACUAUGGUGAAACCUUUGCUCCCGUUGCUCGCCUUGAAUCUAUUCGUUUGUUGAUUGCUUACGCUUCUCAUCACAACUUUAAGUUGCAACAAAUGGAUGUGAAGAGUGCUUUUCUUAAUGCUCCUAUUAAUGAGUUGGUUUAUGUCAAGCAACCCCCCGGGUUCGAGGAUCCCUACUUUCCCGAUCAUGUGUAUCAACUCGAUAAGGCACUCUAUGGCCUUAAACAAGCCCCACGUGCGUGGUAUGACCACCUUACCGAGUUGUUACAAGAUCGUGGGUUUGAAGUUGGGCUAAUCGACCCCACUCUUUUUACUAAGAAGGUCAAAGGGGAGUUGUUUGUAUGCCAACUAUAUGUUGAUGACAUUAUCUUUGGUUCCCCUAACAAAGCUUUCAAUGAGGAAUUUGCCGCACUCAUGACCUCAAAGUUCAAGAUGUCUUCCAUGGGAGAGUUGAAGUUCUUUCUCGGUUUCGAAGUAAAGCAAAGAAGAGAAGGAACCUUCAUCAACCAAGCCAAAUACACUCAAGACAUGCUCAAGAGAUUCAAGCUAAGUGAUGUCAAGCCGGCGUCCACUCCCAUGCCCACCAAGUGCCAACUUGACAUCAAUCCCAAUGGUAAAGCGGUGGAUCAAAAGGUAUAUCGCUCCAUGAUUGGUUCCUUGCUUUACCUUUGUGCAUCUAGACCGGAUAUCAUGUUGAGUGUGGGAAUUUGUGCACGGUUUCAAGCCGCACCUAAGGAAAGCCACUUUGUGGCGGUCAAGCGAAUCUUUUGAUAUUUGGCUCAUACCCCAAACUUUGGCUUAUGGUACCCAAGAGGAGCAAACUUCAAGCUUGUAGGGUAUUCGGACUCCGAUUGGGCGGGAGACAAACUGGAUAGGAAGUCCACUUCCGGAGGGUGCCAAUUUCUUGGUUGCUCUUUGGUAAGUUGGUCUUCUAAAAAGCAAAGUUGUCUGUCUCUCUCGUCCACCGAAGCGGAGUAUGUGGCAGCCGGUAGUUGUUGUGCACAACUCUUAUGGAUGAGGCAAACUUUAAAGGAUUACAGUGUCAUUUGUGACAAAGUGCCUCUCUGGUGUGAUAAUGAAAGUGCCAUCAAGAUUUCUCUCAACCCCGUGCAACACUUCAAGACGAAGCAUAUUGAGAUUCGGUAUCACUUCAUCCGAGAUCACAUUAGGCAAGGGGAGAUUGAGCUCCACUACGUCAACACCCAUGAUAACCUUGCAGAUAUUUUCACGAAGCCUUUGGAUGAAGCAAGAUUUCGCGAGUUAAGGCAUGAGCUAAAUAUCAUUGAUUCAAGCAAUGUUGCUUGAACCCUUGCACACCCCACCACACUCAACUUGUUAUCUAAUCUAGGUGUAGGCAUGGACAUAGGGGGAGUGUUGUUCUCUCAAUGAACUCUCCCUCCCCCAUUAUGCAUAAAGUGAUCAACUCUUUCAUAUUAGCCAUUUUUAUGGUACUUGUGCUUCAAAGACGAGUUUUGGUCAUGGGCCCAAGGAUAAUUUUCACGGUGCCAUACCAAUUGACUCAAACAUAGGUGGCUCCGGCCACCGCCCUCUCCGUGGAGAGUUUGUGUCUCAUUUGGGUCUGUGUUGUCUCUUGCCUCUCUUCCUUCGUGCCAAGCUUGUGCUUGUGGUGUCCAGUGUGUUAGCUCUUUGGUGUGGUCUCUCGCUUGAAGGUUCCGUGCUUCGGUGUUCUCUCUUUUGGUCGAAACUAUCUUUCUUGAGCUCACGGUACUACCGCGGCCUGCCACGGUACUACCGCGAGGGGGGCGCACGGUACUUCCGCACCCAGCGCGGCAGUAAUUUUUUACUGCCGCCUGGAAGAGCCGUACUACGGCCUUGGUGCGGUACUUCCGCCCGGGCGGUACUACCGCAAUGACGUGCGGUACUACCGCGUAAGGAGCACAUGGUACUUCCGCACCCAGCGCGGUAGCAAUUUUUUACUGCCGCCUGGAAGAGCGGUACUACGGCCUAGGUGCGGUACUUCCGCCCAGGGCGGUACUACCGCAAUGACGUGCGGUACUACCGUGUGAGGAGCGCAUGGUGCUACCGCACCCAGCGCGGCAGUAAUUUUUUACUGCCGCCUGGGGGAGCGGUACUAUAGUCACGGUGCGGUACUUCCGCCCGGGGCGGUAGUACCGCGAUGACUUGCGGUACUACCGUGCAGUCGAGGGCGUGUGGGGGUUAAACACGGGCAUGGGGGUUCCAACUCCCCCAUACCCAUUCGUCUCUCUCCCCACUUCAUCUCUCUCUCUCUCACUCAAGAACGGCGCCGGAGGUCAUCGCCGGAUCUCCGUCUCCGGCCGCUCUCCUCGGAUUCCGACCGGUGGGAUCAUUCCCCACCACUCCCUCUUUCCAUGGAACAAGGUUUCUCCCCAAUCCCUCCCUUUUUCUUGUUCGUCUUGUUGCUUUUAGGUUUUGGGGAGAUGCAAGUUGUUCUUGAGAUUUUAGGCCAAAUAUAUGCAAGAGUAGGAUGUAGGAGAGUAGUUUUGUGUAGUGUUGGUACUUGCUAUAGUUGUCCCAUGAUGGAUUUGAUCGACCGUAGUACCGCGUGUUGACACGGUUGUGCUCAGAUCUCCAUGGCUGUUUCAGAUCUGCAACCGUGCGGUACUACCGCUCUUCAGGUGCGGUACUACCGCACGUCCGGUACUACCGCCCUGAUGGUGCAGUACUACCGUGUCUACGGUACUACCGCUCCAUGGUGUGGUACUACCGCACGUGGCGCACCACACGAUACUACCGUCGUCUCAUAUCCCUCUUGUGGCACUUCUCACGUACCAUGUCUACUUGUUUCUCCUGCUUUGCUAUGGUCCUUGCAUUGAACCUUCUCGUGUUUUGUGCGUGUUUGUUUUGUGGUGUGUGUUUUAGGUGGUGGCUCAGGUGCUCCGGCUCGCCGCUCCAAUCCAAGCCGUGACACAGGAUCGAAGCGUAUGCGCAACACAGAGGAAGCAUAGGGCUCCAAUGCCCCCCAACGCAGAACCAAGACCACUGCCACCAAAGAGAAGGACCCCGCCAAGGGUAUGGAUGAGAUACCGCUUGCUGAGUUCAUCUCUCGGAGGAAGAUCAAUCCGUAUGGAAACCCUCGUGCUAACUUUUGAGGGAAUGAUCUAUUCUGGACCAAGCAGCAGAAUCUCAUCUAUCUGGAUGUCAUCAAGGCCAAGCAAAACAUCCAUGUGGAGGUGAAGUGAAUCAACUUGCAUCACAUGCGCAAAGAGGUGCACCGGAAAUACUUUGGUGAGGCUUUGGACCUAGUGGAGGAAUUUGGCAUUGAGCAUAUCAUCUCAUUCCACAAAGACUAUGAUCCUGAGAUCCUUGCUCAGUUCUUUGCCUCAGUGCAUUUUCAUCCCAAUGAGGAAAGGACCAUGACUUGGAUGACCAAUGGUCGGCAGCUGACUGCUACUUGGAAGGAAUUCAUGACCUUGCUUGGGGUUCCGGAUGAGGGGCUCGCCACACCCCAAGGUGUUCGCCCUCAUGCCAAUCCCGAGUCUGCCAACAAGAACAAGUUUAUGCCCUACUAUGUGGAGAAGAGGCUCUCCAAUGGCAAGUCAUCUUGGGUUCUCAACUCCUUUCUUGACAUCAUGCACCGGAUCUUCCGAAACACUCUCUUCCCACGCAUUGCGGACAAGGACAAAGUGCAUGCCUAUCUUGUGGAUAUGAUGCUCCUGUGUGAAGAUGAUCGCAACUCUCAGACACUACCACUUGAUGUCUCACAUAUCAUGUGGCAUGAGCUUCGCUUUGCGGUCUACAACCGCAAGGUCCCCAUCUAUGGACCUUAUCUGUUUGAGAUGAUAUCGGCUACCUAGGAGCGGGUCUACCCUCAGGAUGUGUUUGAGGCCCCUGGUUGGAUCCGGCAUGAGCCCAUCAACCUCCGUAUCAAGCCUCAGUGGGCCAACACUACCUCUCGUGCUGAUACUGCGGCUGCCAUGGACAUGGAUGCAGAUGAGGAUGAGGAGGAGGAAGCAGAUGAGGAUAGCUCUGAGGGUUACAUCCCUCCCACCUCUGAGCCUUCUUGGGCAAAGCGACUGAAGAACAAGAUGAAGAUGUUGUUCUGUAUGCAGGCAAAGGGGCAGUAGCAGACCCACGUGGCUUCCAAGGAGACUCGCCGCCGUGACAAGCGGAUUUUCAGGACCUUUGGCGAGAAGAUCUCUGGCGGGUCAGAAGUGAACAUCACCCCAGAGGCAGAAUGGCUGCACAAGCAGGGUUAUCGGUGGACCGAGUCUGAGGAGGAGUCCGUCCCAGCUGCAGAGUCUGACGAGGAGCGUGCUAGUGACUACUCCGCUUGAGCCACCACUAUUGUUGUAGGUGUCCUCUCUGCCUUUUUGGCGUCUCGAUGCCAAAGGGGGAGAGAGUGUAGGAUUUGCGAGUUGUGUCGUGUUUGGGUCAGUUGAACUUCGUUUAUUUCGUUUGCUUUGGUUUGCUUUGGUUUGUGCUCGUGAGACUUCCGAUCAUAUGGUGUAAGACAUAUGCACUCUAUCGUACCGUAGUGAGCUUACUCUAUCUUGUGCUAAUUUCCUAUGCUCCUGUCUAUCUUGCUUAGCUUUAGCCUUAUUGCAUAUGCUCCUGUCUAUCUUGCUUAGCUUUAGCCUUAUUGCUUGAUUUGCCAUGUCUAUAAAAUAUAGGGGGAGUGUUGAUCCUAGUAUGUGUGUCGUGCAGUCCAAAGCACUCAUCGAGAUAGCACACAUCUAGGGGGAGCCCGUCUAUAUUUUAGAGACUUGGGGUUUGCCCCCGCUCUUUGCGUUAUACUCUCGUGCAAAUCCCGUGUUGUCAUCAAUCCACCAAAAAGGGGGAGAUUGUAAGGGCAUUUUUACCCCUUAGUUGGUUUUGGUGAUUGAUGACAAUGCUUUUGCGGACUAAUCAUGUGCAUCGAAUAUUUCAGAUAUAUUGACUAGGCACAAGAUGUUUUGGUUCCCCUCGAAGGCUAAGGAAGACGGCGUUUCUCUUUGGUUCUUUUCGGUGGUAUUGAGUCGUAGGGAAGCCGUACUAUCAAGAGGGGGUCCGCGUUGGAAAGGUUGGGUGGAUUCAUCACGUACACAUCUUCCUUUGCACCUCCUUUCCUCUAGCCUUUGGAGCAUCCUAUGUUUUCCUUGUCUAUGCAAUAUUGCUCUUGCUUGCCGAACUAAGGCAUGCGGUAGUACUGCUCCCUAGAGCGGUAGUACCGCAGGACCUUGCGGUAGUACCGCCCGCUGGUGCGGUAGUACCGCAAGGGCCCACGGUAGUACCGCUUCUAGUAAGCGGUAGUACCGUGGUCCCUGACUUAGUUCCGCAAGUACGCGGCAGUAAGGGGCGGAUGUAAUUUUUUACAUCCGCGCCCCGCGCGGUAGUACCGCAGCUGGCUUACGGUACUACCGCGUAGGGUUUUUGCAUCGACUCCAACUCUGCGGAAGUAGCCACGGAUGUAAUUUUUUAUAUCCGUGCCUUCCCAUCCCCGGACAGUCCCUGCCUUGCGGUAGUACCGCAAGGGGGAGCGGUAGUACCGCGCCAGCAAUACUACCGCCCUCUGCCUUAGUGCACCUUUGGCUGUUCUGAUCUCUCCUGUGUGGGCGGUAGUACCGCGGGGCCCUGCGGUAGUACCGCGUGCCCCUGCGGUAGUACGGCGCCUCAGGUGCGGUAGUACCGCCCCUGCGGUAGUACCGCGCCUCAGGUGCGGUAGUACCGCGCUGCGCAGGCUGAGUUGGUGGAUAACGGUUGGAUUUGUCGUUCCACUAUAUAAGGGGUGUCUUCCUCCUCUAGUUGACCACCUCUUCCACCUCCAUGCUCCAUUGUCACUCCAAGCUCCAUUUUCGCCCGAUCUCCUUCCCUAGCCAAUCAAACUUGAUGAUUCUCUAGGGAUUGGUUGGGAAGGCCCCGAUCUACACUUCCACCAAGAGAAAUUUGAAUCCCCCCACUAAUCCCUUGUGGAUCUUGUUACUCUUGGGUGUUUGAGCACCCUAGACCGUUGAGGUCACCACGGAGCCAUAGUCCAUUGUGGUGAAGCUUCGUGGUAUCGUUGGGAGCCUCCAAUUAAGUUGUGGAGAUUGCCCCAACCUUGUUUGUAAAGGUUCGGUCGCCACCUCCAAGGGCACCAAUAGUGGAAUCACGGCAUUUCGCAUUGUGUGAGGGCGUGAGGAGUAUACGGGGGCCCUAGUGGCUUCUUGGGGAGCAUUGUGCCUCCACACCGCUCCAACGGAGACGUACUUCCUCUCAAGGGAAGGAACUUCGGUAACACAUCCUCGUCUUCACCGGCUCCACUCUUGGUUAUCUCGUGCCUUUACUUGUGCAAGCUUAUUUGUGUUGUAUCUCUUGCUUGCGUGUGUGCUUAUUGUUAUUGCAUCAUAUAGGUUGCCCACCUAGUUGCAUAUCUAGACAACCUACUUUGAUGCAAAGUUUAAAUUGAUAAAGAAAAGCUAAAAAUUGUUAGUUGCCUAUUCACCCCCCCUCUAGUCAACUAUAUCGAUCCUUUCACAAUACAUGGCUCACACUUCAUAGUAGAAGAAAUUAAAUGAUGAGGAUUGACUUGACAGAUAUAUGCAAAUAAGUGAGAACACCGCAAGCAACUAAAUGUGCUGCAAGAUGGAACAAAUUUUUCAAUUAACGUGUAGAGGAAAUUGUUAAGAAUAAUAAGCUGAGAUAAAUAAGUCCGUAGUUUCCGUUAGCUGCCAGGAAGAAAAAGGUUAGAAAAUAAAAUGGUAUUAUAAUUCCCUCGUGAGCAAAUGGAGCAUUUUUUGUAGGCUAAGAUUCAGAAUCUACACUGCAUGCAGUGUUAACUGCUCAACUCUAAAUACUGGAAUCUAUAGUGGUCCAUAACUAAAUGCUGGAUCCGAUUUGUAGUAGAAAUGACAACUCUAUAUUUCAAUGGGUGUACCGGACUUUACAAAUUAUGAAAUAGCCUAGUAGUGCAGGCUACAGAGAGAGAAAAACAAUGAAGCACGUUAUCCUAACAAGAUGUGCUGAGCAUAAAUCCAUUGACGGUAAAUUAAGAUAUAUGUGAGGCUGCAAACUUCAGUCCAGAAUGGACGACUUUGGUCUUAACAACAUUUUGCCAGAUAUGUUCUUUAACAACACUUCUAUAAUAAAUUAGCCAGGAUAAGUCCCUAAGGUCCUGAUAUGACCAAACUAGCGUACUAGCAUCCAUACAGCAAUUAUGGUAUUACCAAUACCGAAACAGCCUCGAGAACUGUCGACAUGAAUGUGCUACUUUAAUAUGUGUAGCUUUCAUAAGUCAGAAAUAAGCAUUGCAUGUCUCAUGUCUGUUACAGAAACAAAAUCUGGACAUACCUACAGAAGCAGAACACUAUAAAUCAAGAUGCCGGCAUAAUAAUUAUUGUGCAGCAAAACACUAGCUUGCAUCACUAUAAUCCCUCACAUUACAGUGGACAAAACCAAAACGACCAUAUAAAGAGCUAUCACAAUGACAGAUAAUGAUAGACUUGAAGUAAAUAACAGGUAAGAGAUCGAUAGAAAUGUAAGUAGAACAUGAAUUGGUGACAAAUACCAUAAUGUGCAGUCUCUCCAUGUUGGGAAAGCAUUUGAGGAAGGUGGGAACCAUCUUGACAUCACUGCGAACCCCGAAACGCACAUUCAAGCUCAGAAUUUUCACGGUUGUGAGCAUGGUACUUGUGCUUGCCUUUAUCCCGGGCUGAAAUUUUCCCAAUUCAAGAAGAACAUCACACAACUAAUUGAGUCAUCGGCUGAACAUAUUUGCUAACUGAACUAACAGAGACACGGGAGACCGGGGGAUGUACCAUGAUGGCAGUUUUCCCAACCUCUAGGACCUGUCCUGGUUCUAAGAAUCCAAACGUGUGCAGCUUGGGGGCAUCGACAAUCCUGACUCUGAAGGCACCACGACCGACUCUGCCAGAGGGGAUAAGCCGCUCGAGGCAUGGAGCCUUUGCCAUGGUGAUGCUCUCCAUAACCGAGCUACAGAUUUGCACGCAGCGUAGGCUCUGGCUGACGAGGCGUAGACACAGCUCCGUGCGCCAUCCCUCAAUAUUGAGGAUCUCCAGGACAGGGCUCCUGGCGACGAGGGACUCGAUGGCGUCGUGCUCCAUUUCAACGCUGCAUAUGCCGAGCUCGACAAGGUGGGGAAAGGGGGCACCGCGCAGGACGUCCGUGCUCGGCAAUUUCCAGAAGCCGAUGUAGAGGCUGGUGAGGGUGCUGACGCUGAAGAGAGUGGCGGGGAGGGGCACGUCUUGCGGCCAUGGUCAAUUGACGAGGACGAGAUCUUGGACGCCCUUGGCGGCGAGGAGGUGGAUCCACCGCGCGAGCUGGGCAAGGUAGGCAUUCAUGUGGCUGCAGACGAGGUCGACGCAGCGGAAGGGCCCCGGGUGCGCUUCGAGGAUGCGGGACACGGCCGCGGUGACGGCCGGCGAGUUGGCGCGCGUAGGACGCUAGACGUGGCUGUCGGGGAUGAGGUGGGCGUCGUUGAGGACGAGGGGCGUGGAGCGCCAGAGCGUGCGCCAGCAGGUGGAGAGCACGGCGGUGCGCGCGGCGUCCUUGACAGGGAGGCGAGUGACGAUGUUGCGCAGGAGCUCGUCGGGGAGGCUGCUGAUGCGGUCGACGCCGUUGAUGGAGGCGGCGAGGGCGUGAGCCGGCCGUUGUCGGUGAACGGCGGGCGGGGGACGAGGAUGUAGAUGUACGCUAGCACGUGCUCCACGAAUUGGUCCACCUCGUGCGGGUCACAGCCAUUGCGCCGCGAUUCGGCCGCCGUCGCAGGAUCAACGUUGGUGAACGGUCUCGGGUCAGCCAUGGUCAGACGGCGGCGCCGGCGGAUGAGCCGACGCGGGUUUGGGGAUUCGACUGGGUGUGGGUGGACUGUGUGGCGAUGGUGGGCCGUUCGUCUUAUAAAGGGACCGAAGCAGUCUCUGUCUGUCUAUGGUGGCCCUGGAAUGUUGUUACUUGGUUGGGCCAAAGCCUGACACAAGUUGCUCAUGGACCCACGAUUCAGUCACUUAUUUGGUUCUUUUUUAUCCCUCAAAAAAAGUUUGUUUCUUUUUUUCCUUUUAUUAUGUCUCAAUGAAACAACUUAUUUUUUUCUUUUGCUGAGCGAUCUUGAUCGCCACACUACAAGGGGUUUAGUAUGAACGUCGUUCACUUAUCUCGUAAAAAAAACUUCUUUCACUUAGUACCUGCCUAUGGAGGAUUGUCUUGUUUUUCGAUAGGUGGCUAGGUUUGCUACUUCGUCGACGUCCCACCAACGUUGAGGUCUUGUCUACCACCUAUCCCAAUCCCUGCCCUACCCCAAGCUUGCGCAGACGCUCGGGCUGACUCAAGGGAUGGCCCACUCAUCUUCUCGCCCUUGGUGUUCUGUGGUAAGAUCAGACAAGAGAGGCCAUAUUGGACUGUGAAGCGGCAAACAUGGGGUCGACGGGAUCGAACUUUAGGGAGGUGGAGAAGGGUAAGAAGGCAUCAGGUGAUGAUGCCUGGAAGACUGAAAUGGAACGAGGAACAUGAAUCUAAAAGAGGGGGAGAUGGACGGCAUCUUUGUCGAGGAGGGGGAGAUUGGAGAGCCAACAAAGGUGUGUAGUGCCGAAGGUCAACACGAACAAGUCGUUCAAAUGUGUCGUGCUGAACGGCACUCUGGAAUUUGCAUGGAGUCUUGCGCAUGAACUGGAGAUUCGCAGGGUUGAUGACAACCUCUUCGUCAUUCAGAUGUUUUGUCUCGGCAACUGAAAAAGAUGAUGUCGUAGGGGUUAAGGAUUUUCCAGGGUUUGAUGGUUUUGAUCGAAGAAUGUGAUGAUAGGGUUGCACUGGAGUCACUAAAGUUGGAAAUGUUGUAGUUUGGACUGAAAUACACAGUUUCUCGAAUCUCAGUGCAAGGAGACGUGUUGUGGACCGAUUGGCUUGGAGGGUUGACAUUGCUCGGAGGGUUGAGAUGAAUCCUACAAGACUGGUUGAAGUGAAUUGUCCAUACUUGGGAAAGCACAUUGAAGUGAGCAAACCUUUGAUUCACUCUCCACUUCUAAAAUUGGGUGGAAAAGAUGAAUCCUACAAGCACUGGAGCGUGCUGGUUUCUACGGUAGGGUGCGUCGACUGCAAAUUAAAAAUUCCUACGCGUAGAACAUCCAGGAACAUGCUAUGGGAGAUGGAUCAUAGAUCGUUACCACUAGACGUGCAGUGCCGUGCAGUGGAAGAAGAGUUGGGGCAGCGCGUCCGCGUGGAUCGUCUCCUCCUCGUUCGAUCUCCCUCGAACAGCCUCUCGUCCGAUCCCACGUACAAGUUCGCCGGAGCGGCGCAAGUGCACCACCUCUAACGGUAUCCGCGCGUGCAGGAGGAACACCGUGCGGCGGACUGCUAGGUCCGAUCACACAGUUGGCGGCGAGUGGAGGUAUCUAUUCACAACACAUGCAAACCCUAGUGACAAUGCCGAAGCUAUCAACCGCAUGAGUGUGCCGCACCCCCACUUUAUAUAGGCGUCUGUCACGGGCUCAACACUUGGGCCUCGCACGGACCCUAAAGCCCACAAGUCUACACGGCCAAAAUCCGAAUACAGCUCGGAUCACAUUCGACCAGUGUCCUCGGAUCCGACCUCGUAGGUUCCUUCCCUUAAGCGCGUGACCCCUUAGGUUCAAGCCGGCUUGGUCGCGGUUCGGAUCACCUCCGAACUGCACGGUUGGCAGCGGCCUCUAGCAAGGCAUGCCGAACACCAAGCAGACUAUGAAACUGGUUAGGCAAACCUGUACAACAUGUCACACUUCUGUUCCCUUUGCCACACGAUAUAUGUUAUCGGGCUCAAGGCGAGAUUGUCAUCCUUGUGCUAGCCCGACCUCUUUCUCGUUCCCGUGAUGCCGACCACUAUCCGGAUUAUCUCAUAAUCCAUGGCCAUGCUUUUCCUGGUCGGAUCACACGAGGGGCCCAGAGUAUAUCUCUCCUUAUCGGAGGGGCAAAUCCCAUCUUGCUCGACCAUGUCUCGCAGCAUGGGUCUGGACAAGCCUGAAACCUACCUUUGUAACUACCCAGUUACGGAGUAGCGUUUGGUCGGCCCAAAGCAGGUCUGUCACCAUCCCGAGUACAUGCGUCAGCUCAGGUCUUAGGACAUAGAACGUAUGUUGUACUAGAGACUCACAGAUGACAUAUCGCUGCGUCUCAUAGUUGGGUCUGUCUGACUCAGACCUUAUCUCGACUCGGAUCCGACUACGUCGAAUCCGACCAGACCUUUCCAAAUCCAUAUUAUCCGGUUAGCAUCCAAUGCUCCAUGGCUAGUGAGACCAAGCCAUCGACCGUGUCAUAUGCUAGUCUAGUCGGCUGCGCGUCCACACAGCCCUUUCGACUAGGGACCUUUUAGGAUAGUCAUCAUACAAUGCAUAGUCCCACAAACAAGUCACGUACUUGAUGAUACAGAUCAUUAAUAAUGUCCAAGGACUAUCUUUAUUCAUAAACACAUAGGAAAUAUCAUCAUACAUGAUUGCCUCUAGGGCAUAUCUCCAACAGUCUCUGACUUGCACUAGAGUCAAUCAAAUAGACAUCGAAUGCCCAUAGCUGUAACGUGCCCCUCAUGCUCGAGUUGUGGAAGCGGCUUAGUCAACGGAUCUGCAACAUUUGCAUCCGUGUGAAUUUUGCAUAACUCUACAUCACCAUUCUUUACGAUCUUUCAUAUCAGGUGAUAUUUCCGAUCUAUGUGUCUGACCUUGUGGUGAUUCCUCGGCUCCUUGGCUUGUGCGAUGGCACCAAAAUUAUCACAAUAAAGGUCCAACGGUUUCACCGAGGCUGGGAAAAUACCAAGAUCAUCCAGAAAAUGCCGGAUCCAAACACCUUCCUUCGCAGCUUCACAAGCCGCAAUGUAUUCGGUUUUUGUGGUAGGAUCGGCCACCGUAUCUCUCUUGGAACUCAUCCAGCUCACUGCUCCUCCGUUCAUGACGUACACGAAUCCGGACUGUGAUCGACAAUCAUCUCUGUCGGUUUGGAAACUAGCAUCGGCAUAACCCCUUACGACGAGCUCUUCCUCACCUCCAUAAACUAGGAACAUCUCUUUAGUCCUUUUCAGGUACUUCAAAAUAGUCUUUACCGCUGCCCAGUGACUUUCACCUGGGUUGGCCUCGUAUCUACUUGUUAGGCUUAUUGCAAAAGCAACAUCAGGCCUUGUACAUAUCAUGGCAUACAUGAUGGAUCCGAUUGCUGAGGCAUACAGAAUCCUACUCAUCCUGCUCCACUCAUCAGAUGUCGAAGGACUCUGAGUCUCGCUUAGCCUUAUACCAUGUGAGAGUGGCAAGAACCCUUUCUUUGCCUCACUCAUGUUGAACCGCUUCAACACUUUAUCUAUGUAUGUGCUCUGGCUUACGCCGAGCAGCCUCCUCGAUCUAUCCUUAAAGAUCUUAAUGCCUAAAAUAUAAGCUGCCUCACCAAGGUCUUUCAUCGAAAACUUGCCAUUCAAUGACUCCUUGACCGAGUUCAACAUCGAAACAUCAUUUCCGAUCAGUAGUAUGUCAUCCACAUACAAGAUCAAAAACACUAUCGAGCUCCCACUUAACUUCUUGUAUAAACAAGCGUCCUCUUCGCUUUUGAUGAAACUGAGACAAGUGACGACCUCAUCAAAACGAAUGUUCCAACUCCGAGAUGCUUGCCUCUACCCAUAAAUGGAUCUCUUGAGCUUGCAUACCUUACUAGCGCUAGUCGGAUCGACAAAACCCUCGGAUUGUAUCAUAAACACGUCCUCGGUUAAAUUUCCAUGGAGGAGAGCCGUUUUGACAUCCAUCUGCCAUAUCUCGUAAUCGAAAUAUGCAGCUAUAGCUAGUACGAUCCUCACCGACUUCAGCAUCGCCACCGGCGAGUAAGUCUCGGUGUAGUCAAUUCCUUGAACUUGUCCAUAACCCUUAGCGACAAGCCGAGUGAUGUCUAAUACACAACCUUCUUCUUGUAGACGUUGUUGGGCCUCCAAGUGCAGAGGUUUGUAGGACAGUAGCAAAUUUCGCUCAAGUGGAUGAACUAAGGUUUAUCAAUCCGUGGGAGGUGUAGGAUGAAGAUGGUCUCUCUCAAACAACCCUGCAACCAAAUAACAAAGAGUCUCUUGUGUCCCCAACACACCCAAUACAAUGGUAAAUUGUAUAGGUGCACUAGUUCGGCGAAGAGAUGGUGAUACAAGUGCAAUAUGGAUGGUACAUAUAGGUUUUUGUAAUCUGAAAAUAUAAAAACAGCAAGGUAGCAAGUGAUAAAAGUGAGCAGAAACGGUAUUCCAAUGCUAGGAAACAAGGCCUAGGGUUCAUACUUUCACUAGUGCAAGUUCUCUCAACAAUAAUAACAUAAUUGGAUCAUAUAACUAUCCCUCAACAUGAAACAAAGAGUCACUCCAAAGUCACUAAUAGCGGAGAACAAACGAAGAGAUUAUUGUAGGGUAUGAAACCACCUCAAAGUUAUCCUUUCUGAUCGAUCUAUUCAAGAGUCCGUAGUAAAAUAACACGAAGCUAUUCUUUCUGUUCGAUCUAUCAUAGAGUUCGUACUAGAAUAACACCUUAAGACACAAAUCAACCAAAACCCUAAUGUCACCUAGAUACUCCAAUGUCACCUCAAGUAUCCGUGGGUAUGAUUAUACGAUAUGCAUCACACAAUCUCAGAUUCAUCUAUUCAACCAACACAAAGAACUUCAAAGAGUGCCCCAAAGUUUCUACCGGAGAGUCAAGACGAAAACGUGUGCCAACCCCUAUGCAUAAGUUCAUUGAACCCGCAAGUUGAUCACCAAAACAUACAUCAAGUAGAUCACGUGAAUAUCCCAUUGUCACCACAGAUAAGCAUGGCAAGACAUACAUCAAGUGUUCUCAAAUCCUUAAAGACUCAAUCCGAUAAGAUAACUUCAAAGGGAAAACUCAAUCCAUUACAAGAGAGUAGAGGGGGAGAAACAUCAUAAGAUCCAACUAUAAUAGCAAAGCUCGCGAUACAUCAAUAUCGUACCACCUCAAGAACACGAGAAAGAGAGAGAUCAAACACAUAGCUACUGGUACAUACCCUCAGCCCCAAGGGGAACUACUCCCUCCUCGUCAUGGAGAGCGUCGGGAUGAUGAAGAUGGCCACAAGUGAGGGAUCCCCCCUCCGGCAGGGUGCCGGAACAGGGUCCCGAUUGGUUUUUGGUGGCUACAGAGGCUUGCGGCGGCGGAACUCCCGAUCUAGGUUUAUUUCUGGAGGUUUCUGUAUUUAUAGGAAUUUUUGGCGUAGGUUUCACGUCAGGGGGGUCNNNNNNNNNNNNNNNNNNNNNNNNNNNNNNNNNNNNNNNNNNNNNNNNNNNNNNNNNNNNNNNNNNNNNNNNNNNNNNNNNNNNNNNNNNNNNNNNNNNNNNNNNNNNNNNNNNNNNNNNNNNNNNNNNNNNNNNNNNNNNNNNNNNNNNNNNNNNNNNNNNNNNNNNNNNNNNNNNNNNNNNNNNNNNNNNNNNNNNNNNNNNNNNCUCGUGGGCAGCCCGGGACUCCUCUGGCCCAACUCCGAUGCUCUGUGGUCUUCUUUUGGUCCAUAAAAAAUCAUCAAAAAUUGGCACGUCAAUUGGACUCCGUUUGGUAUUCCUUUUCUGCGAUACUCAAAAACAAGGAGAAAACAGAAACUGGCACUGGGCUCUAGGUUAAUAGGUUAGUCCCAAAAAUCAUAUAAAACAACAUAUAAAUGCAUAUAAAACAUCUAAGAUGGAUAAUAUAAUAGCAUGGAACAAUCAAAAAUUAUAGAUACGUUGGCGAUGAAUCAAGCAUCCCCAAGCUUAAUUCAUGCUCAUCCUCGAGUACGUAAAUGAUAAAAACAGAAUUUUUGAUGUGGAAUGCUACCUAACAUAAUUAUCAAUGUAAUUUUCUUUAUUGUGGCAUGAAUGUUCAGAUCCGAAAGAUUCAAGACAAAAGUUUAAUAUUGACAUAAGAAUAAUAAUACUUCAAGCAUACUAACAAAGUAAUCAUGUCUUCUCAAAAUAAGAUGACCAAAGAAAGCUAUCCCUACAAAAUCAUAUAGUCUGGCUAUGCUCUAUCUUCAUCACACAAAAUAUUUAAAUCAUGCACAACCCCGGUUUCAGCCAAACAAUUGUUUCAUACUUUAGUAUUCUCAAGCUUUUUCAAUCUUCACGCAAUACAUGAGCGUGAGCCAUGGACAUAGCACUAUAUGUGGAAUAGAAUGGUGGUUGUGGAGAAGACAAAAAGGAGGAAGAUAGUCUCACAUCAACUAGGCGUAUCAACGGGCUAUGGAGAUGCCCAUCAAUAGAUAUCAAUGUGAGUGAGUAGGGAUUGCCAUGCAACGGAUGCACUAGAGCUAUAAGUGUAUGAAAGCUCAAAAGGAAACUAAGUGGGUGUGCAUCCAACUUGCUUGCUCACGAAGACCUAGGGCACUUUGAGGAAGCCCAUCUUUGGAAUAUACAAGCCAAGUUUUAUAAUGAAAAAUUCCCACUAGUAUAUGAAAGUGACAACAUAGGAGACUCUCUAUCAUGAAGAUCAUGGUGCUACUUUGAAGCACAAGUGUGGUAAAAGGAUAGUAGCAUUGCCCCUUCUCUCUUUUUCUCUCUUUUUUUUCUUUUUUCUUUUUCUUUUUUUAGGCCUUCUCCUUUUUUUUGGCCUCUUUUUUAUUUUUCGUCCGGAGUCUCAUCCCGACUUGUGGGGGAAUCAUAGUCUCCAUCAUCCUUUCCUCACUGGGACAAUGCUCUAAUAAUGAAGAUCAUCACACUUUUAUUUACUUACAACUCAAGAGUUACAACUCGAUACUAGAACAAGAUAUGACUCUAUAUGAAUGCCUCCGGCGGUGUACCGGAUGGGCAAUGAAUCAAGAGUGACAUGUAUGAAAAAUUAUGCAUGGUGGCUUUGCCACAAAUACGAUGUCAACUACAUGAUCAUGCAAGGCAAUAUGACAAUGAUGAAGCGUGUCAUAAUAAACGGAACGGUGGAAAGUUGCAUGGCAAUAUAUCUCGGAAUGGCUAUGGAAAUGCCAUAAUAGGUAGGUAUGGUGGCUGUUUUGAGGAAGAUAUAUGGUGGGUGUAUGAUACCGGCGAAAGGUGCGCCGUAAUAGAGAGGCUAGCAAUGGUGGAAGGGAGAGAGUGCGUAUAAUCCGUGGACUCAACAUUAGUCAUAAAGAACUCACAUACUUAUUGCAAAAAUCUAUAAAUCAUCAAAACAAAGUACUACACGCAUGCUCCUAGGGGAAGUGUUGGUAGGAGUUAACCAUCGCGCGAUCCCGACCUCCACACAUAAGGAAGACAAUCAAUAAAUACAUCAUGCUCCAACUUCAUCACAUAACGGUUCACCAUACGUGCAUGGUACGGGAAUCACAAACUUCAACACAAGUAUUUCUCAAAUUCAUAAUUACUCAACUAGCAUGACUCUAAUAUUACCAUCCUCAUAUCUCAAAACAAUCAUCAAGCAUCAAACUUCUCAUAGUAUUCAAUGCACUCUAUAUGAAAGUUUUUAUUAUACCCAUCUUGAAUGCCUAUCAUAUUAGGACUAAAUUCAUAACCAAAGCAAAUUACCAUGCUGUUUAAUACUCUCAAAAUAAUAUAAGUGAAGCAUGAGAGUUCAUCUAUUUCUUCAAAAUAAAACCACCGCCGUGCUCUAAAAGGAUAUAAGUGAAGCACUGAGCGAAUGACAAACUACUCCGAAAGAUAUAAGUGAAGAUCAAUGAGUAGUCGAAUAAUUAUGCAACUAUGUCAAGACUCUCUCUCAUUUAAGAAUUUCAGAUAUAAUGUAUUUUAUUCAAGCAGCAAGCAAAGCAAAAUAAAACAAAAUGGUGCUCCAAGCAAAACACAUAUCAUGUGGUGAAUAAAAAUAUAGCUCCAAGCAAAGUUACCGAUGAAUGAAGACGAAAGAGGGGAUGCCAUCCGGGGCAUACCCAAGCUUAGGCUCUUGGUUGUCCUUGAAUAUUACCUUGGGGUGCCUUGGGCAUCCCCAAGCUUAGGCUCUUGCCACUCAUUAUUCCAUAGUCCAUCGAAUCUUUACCCAAAACUUGAAAACUUCACAACACAAAACUCAACAGAAAACUUGUAAGCUCCGUUAGUAAAAAUAAAUCACCGCAUUUGGUACUGUUGUGAACUCAUUCUACAUUCAUAUGGGUGUAAUAUCUACUGUAUUCCAACUUCUCUACAGUUCAUAUCCUCCGAUACUAUUCAUAGAUUCAUCAAAAUAAGCAAACAACACAUAGAAAACAGAAUCUGUUAAAAACAGAACAGUCCGUAGCAAUCUGUAUCAAACGUAUACUUCUGGAACUCCAAAAAUUCUACCAAAUUUGGAAGUCCUAAGCAAUUUGUUUAUUAAUCUUAUGAAAAAAGAAUCAAUUGAAAAUCAUGUUUCUCUGAUUUAUGAAAACUAAUCUCGUGCGCGCAAAAGUUUCUGUUUUUCAGCAAGAUCAAAUUAACUAUCACCGUAAGCUAUCCUAAAGGUCUUACUUGGCACUUUAUUGAAACAAAAGCUAAAAAACAUGAUUACUACAGUAUCAUAAUAAUGUGAACACACAAAAACAGUAAGGGUAAAUAUUGGGUUGUCUCCCAACAAGCGCUUUUCUUUAUUGCCUUUCUAGCUAGGCAUGAUGAUGACAAUGAUGCUCACAUAAAAGAUAAGAUUUGAAACAUAACGGGAGCAUCAUGAAGCAUAUGACUAGCACAUUUAAGCCUAACCCACUUCCUAUGCAUAGGGAUUUUGUGAGCAAACAACUUAUGGGAACAAUAAUCAACUAGCAUAGGAAUGCAAAACAAGCAUAACUUCAAAACUUUUAACACAUAGAGAGGAAACUCGAUAUUAUUGCAAUUCCUACAAGCAUAUGUUCCUACCUCAUAAUAAUUUCCAGUAGUAUCAUGAAUGAAUUCAACAAUGUAACCAGCACCUAAAACAUUCUUUUCAUGAUCUACAAGCAUAGAAACUUUAUUACUCUCCACAUAAGCAAAAUUCUUCUCAUUCAGAAUAGUGGGAGUAUCAUAAGAGAUUCGAAUACUAUAAAUUGUUUCCACAUUAAAAGAGUAAUGAUCAGAAAAAGGGUAAUCAUGAUCAUGACAAGUUUUAUAAAUAUAAUCAUCACUACCUUUUAUAGCAUAAGUUUCAUCACAAUAAUCAUCAUAAAUAGGAGGCAUGCUAUCAUCAUAAUAAAUUUGCUCAUCAAAACAUGGGAGGCUAAAAAUAUCAUCUUCAUUAAACGUAGCAUCCCCAAGCUUAGGACAAACAUUAAUUGCAGCAAAUAUAUUCUCAAACAUGUCAUUCUCAUCAAACAUAGCAGCCCAAGCUUGGGCCUUUUCAUAUCAUAAGCAUAAUCACUCUCAUCAUUAAUAGUAUGGAUAGCACAAAUAGUAUAGCAAUUAUCAUCAUCACAAUGAGUAAUAGGAGAAACAUCAUUUGGGAGGGAUACCUUUCUACCUUUGCUUCUCCGUCUUAUAUUUUUCUUCUUCACAUCAUGUGUGGGUUUAACCCUCUUUUUUGAGCUCCUUAUUGAUGAGAUUGGUUGAAUAGAAGGCUCCUCCUCGUUACCUGAUUCAUCAUAAGAAAUAAUAGGAGGAUAUUGGGAAGUCUCUUCCCUUUCAUUAGUAUUCUCUUCAUAUUCUAUUUGUUUCCUUUUCUUUAUGUAAUUGGCAAUAUAAGGAUUUUCAAUGCAAUUCACCGCACAAUACAUAUAAAUUUCCUCUAGAUCAAAAUGAAGAACUCUUUCAAGGGCAAAUUCUGGAAUAACCUUAGUUAUACGUUUCAUUUCUUCAUAACCCAAGAGCAAACUAAAUUCAUUAUGAUGUGCAAGGGAAAUUAAGUCAUCACAAUUUUGGACACGAUACGAUCAUGAAACAAUUUGUAUUGGAUAUUUAAAUGACCACGUUCGUUGCAAAGCUCACAAGGAUGACUAAGAAAAUUUAAUUUUUCAGCACAAACAUCUAGCCUUUCUUGCAACCAUUUGGUUUCUAAAUACUUAUGCCUCUUAAAAAAUCUAUCUUCCCUUUUUGGAAUGUAUUUGCACUACAAAAAAAUACACUUCCGUGAUAAUACGUGUUUGUCACAGUAGGUCGUGUUUUUUGUCAUGCAUGUACAUCCAUGACAAAUUUAUGACAGAAUCGAGAUAGUCAUACCUGUGCUGUCGUAGAAGUGUUCCAUGACAUUACCAAAAUUAUCAUCACGGAAGUGUCCACUUCCAUGACGAUAAAUCGCGCGUAACAGAAGUGCUUUCGUCAAGGGUGACCGACAUGUGGCAUCCACCGUAACGGAACGCCGUUAAGCUAUCGGGUCGGGUUUUGGAUCCGAUAACCCGUUAACAGCCCCGACCAAUGGGGAUUUUCCACUGUAAAAUCAUCAUUGGCUGGAGGAAACACGUGUCAGCUCACCGUUGGGACAGAUGUCAUCCGCUCAUUGGACCGAAGGCGCCUAUGAUACGGCGACACGUGGCACGGCCCAAAGGAUGCCCAUUCCUGUGAAAAGGCCGGCCCGUUUGACUUGGUCAAAAGGUGGCGGGCCGGCCCACGGGAAGCCUGUUAACGGCCUGUUUGCAUAUAGCCCAUUUACAGCCCGCUAACCCAGGGCCCAUUACGCCCUAUCCGAAUUAGGCCCAGUAGCGUCAUCUGGGCCGUCCAAUAUGAUUCUGCCCGUUUUAACUUCCGGCCCAUGUGUGGCCCAUGACUUCUUUCGGCCCAUAUGAGGACCUUUGUAAAUCUUGGCCCAUUAACGGCCCGUGGUGAAACUGGCCCGUAAUGAACAGUGUAUCACAUUAUACCCAUUAACGGCUCGUUAUUCCAUUGGGCCGUUUCCAGCCCAAGUUAUCUUUCGACCUUCUCAGGGCCCAUUGAUUCUUGGGCUCAUUUGCAGCAUUCGGUUACAUACGACCCAUUACUGUCAUUUUCUGCUUGUGGGCCAAAUUCAGCCCGUCGUUACAGUCGGCCCGUUGGCGGACCGUUAAUACGUUGGGUCGUUUUCAUGUCAAAAAAACCCGUUGGGUUGUUUUCAUAGAGUUAUCAAAUACGGCCUAUUAACGGCCUGUUAUGGUCCACGAAUAGUACGGCCCAUGAUUGGCGAAAUGAUGAUACGCCCCGUAGAAGGCCCAUGGAUCCUACGGCCCGUAUGAGGCCCAUGGAUAGUACGGCGCGUAGAAGGCCCAUGGAUUGUACGACCCGUAGAAGGCCCAUGGACCCUACGGCCCGUAGAAGGCCCAUGGACCCUAAGGCCCGUAUAGAAGGCCGAUGGAUCCUACGGCCGGACGAAGGCCCAUGGAUCAUACGGCCUGCAGGAGGCCCAUGGCUACAACAGUCCGUGUGUUGCCACGAUUAUUUUGGCCUAGUUACCAAAAAUAGGCUAUUGUGGCCACUAGAAAAAAACAGAAAAAGAACUGCAGUGACUACAAGCAAACAACUAAACAAGACAAUAAGGAAAUAAAUAAGCAAGCAAUUAACGCUAGCCUAUUACCGCUAUUACACAUAUUACAUCCACUGGGCAUCAAAGUUCGCCACCAGUGCAAAUAUAGGGAACAAAGCAGCACAUUAUAUACACUGGCCGUCAAAAUUGGCCACCAGUGCAAAUAAACGCGGCAGCAAAACAAGAGCAUAACUGAAACAACUUCAGAAGAGCUCAAGAAACGUUAUCUUGGGUAUCCACCAUGCUGGCAAUAAGCUUAGCAUGCUGAUUAGCUUUGUCCUGUUUGGCGCUAAAAUCCUCCAACGCUUGCUGUUGCACCAGAAAGUAUGCAUCUGAAUGCUCCAGGGACUUCCGCAGUCCUUCCGCUUCUUGUCGCAGCACAACUGAUCGAUGUCUUUUAGCUUGUAGUUGAGACUCAAGAAACUGAACUGAUUCAGACAGUGAGUUUGAAUAGCUUGUGCAAGCGGUAGUGGCCAGUAACUCGAACACUAAACCAAGACAUGACUUUGGGGUUGUCUCGCUGUCUUCAAGAUAGUCUUCCUUAGCUGUUUUAUCAGCUUUGUUGGAGACCAACAAGGAUGUGUCACUAUCCUGAACCUUAUCUGCAUUACUUCCUUUACCAUUGCUUAAUAAGGCACUCUUCCCCAAUAUUCUGUCAGUAUUCUAAAAGAAGAAACAAGUAGACACAUAACAAGUUUAGCAUGUACUAGUAUAUGAAACUCAUUUCGGUGAACCAGUUCAUUAGUAAGGUGGACAUGCUUAAACUACCAAGUCUUCUAUUGCCAAGUACUAGUACAUAAUAAAAGCAUCAAACAAACAUAUAUCUAUGUCCUAUGGUCACUGCAUUGUCUUGCCAAAUGAAAAUAGAGACACGGUUCAAAUCAUAUCAGUUCAAGACAAAGCAGCAGUGAAAGAAUACAAAGCAUGGGAAACUACACGGCACAACAAGAUUUCAGAUGGGUACCACGGGUCUACAUGUACAACAACACUAUUGGCUCUGUUGUGAUGCUAGUAAUGUGCAUGAUAUGAAAGUCAACUGUAUACAUAAUUGAAAUUGAAAUCAACAGAGCUAUUGAUAAGACCAAACCUGUUAAAGAAACAUGCGUGAACAUACCUGCUGUGCCAUUGGAGUUUCGAUUGGAUCCUUCAAUUUAAAAAUAAGUUUGUAUGAGUAAAUACAGUAAUACAAGAGCAAAGCAAUCAUAGUUAAAAAUGGCACGCCUAAGCGAGCGCUUAAGCGCGCCUGGGCUCUAGGCGUUGGCAAAACGCAUUGCGCAUAAUCGCGCAUAAGCAUGCGCUUUGGUCAGUAAAGCGCAAGGCGGUGGCAAAACGCACAAUUAACGCCUAGCGCUUUUUUGAACUAUGAUAGCAAUGGAAUCUUAAAUUAGAACAGUUGUUCUUCAGGUUUAGGCACUUGUUCUACAUGAACAGAGUACAAUAAGACACAAGAAUAUAAUACUAAAAAUUAGAAAAUGAGCUCAUAGACCUUACCACAUUCUUGGUUCGGGACCAAUACAGAACAAGGCGUUCCCAGUCAUCGUCCUGUAAAUGUGUCUCAGGAGAACGUAAGGGAAUUUGAUGAGUUUCUUUGCCGGUGAAGUACGUUUUCUUCAGGUAAUUCCGAUACUGCCACCAAGCAUUCUUGAAGAUAGCAGAGGUAUUAGCACAGGUUACCUCAUCCUGAGUUUCCAAAUUGGUCCUUCUCCAUAGAGAAAAAUGGGAAAAUUUGCUGUAUUAUAACCAUCAUGGAGGUAGGAUGUAUGGGACGAAGCAAAGUAAUUGCCAUGAAUAACAUUACUUACACAUAACUCCUAGACAAACACCUGCAACUGACAUUUUCCUUCAUCUUCAGUAUAAUAUUUCCAAGAUGGGAAGAUACGCACAUACGAUUUAACAACAUCAAAUGCGAUAGAUGCUAAACUAUGACUAGCUGGUUGUGCUUCCUCCACAGGAAUAGGCGUACUAACUGGUGGAGUUGGGGUUCGCCGUGAUAGUACUGGCUCUUUGAGCACUGGAGCUGCCUUACUAACUGCUCUUGUUUGGGAGCUCUGUGGUGGAGAUGGUGCUGUGUCAAUAGGAACUGGGUUACUAUCGGCUGGGGUUGGGGUUAGAUUGGGUGAAGCUGGUUCUCUGUCCAUCGCAGUAGGGGUACAAUCUGCGAGUGUUUGGGUUAUGUGUGGUAGGGCUGGUUCUUGUGCAUGUACAACCGGGGUGCUAUCUCCACCAAGAGGUAGCACUGUUUUAUUUGAAGACCGUGUUUUUAGUCCCCUAGAUACUGGCAUCACCCGCUCCAAUUCAAAUGGCUGAUAAACAGGAAACAUAGUUGAAUGUACAGACAUUGUAUGAGAGACAGAUGCAAUAGAUGUGGAAAAAAGAGGGCAUGAAAUAGUUGACAUGUAUAUUGUUUAACUAAAAUGGAUAGCAUGACAUAAUUUCACAUAUAUGAUGUCUAUCUAAACUGGAUAGCAUAGCAUAACAUAAUUCAAUGAUAUGAUGAAUAACUAAACAUGAUCGCAUUACAUAAUUCACCUACAUGUUAUGUAAGUAAUCAGGACUACAUGUUAUCUAAGUAAUCAGGAUUGCAUCAUUUAAUUCACAUAUGUGAUUUAUAUGGUAAACAGAGGGCAUUCGAUAUGAUGUCUGAACUAAGAACAUGGUGUUGAAUAUUGUGUAUAUGAUGUCUAAACUAUGCAAUGCAAGACACCGUAUGCAUGAUAUGAGCAGUAUAACCGUGCCAAGUUAGAGCAUACACCUCAGUGGGGGAAUAGGACUGGUCAUCUAUCUCUGAAUCCAUCUCUGAGGAGCUAUCGGGACCCAACAAGAGAUCUGCUUCGACAGGUAGAACUAUCUGCUCUGAAGGCCUUGUUUUCACUCCAGAUUUAUCCAUCUCCCACCCAAAUGGCUGAUUCACAGGAAGAGUAGUUUAAUGUACAAACAUUGUCGACAAAUGGAAAUGUAAUGAAGAAAAAGAUGGGCAAGAUAUCAUUCAAAUAUAUGAUGAAUGGUUAAAGAGGAUGGCAUUGCACAUUUCACAUAUAUUAUGGCUGGCUAAAAGACAUGAGACUGCAUAAUUCCCAUAUAUGAUAUAGAAACUAAACAGGUGGCAUAACAGAACAUGUCUAAACUAAGAAGAUGACAUAUAUGAUGUCAAAAGUAGGCACUGCAAGGCAACAUAUGCAUGAUAUGACUAACAUCAUCAUGCCAAGGUAGAGCAAACACCUUGGGGGUAAAUAGGAGUGGUCAGCGGCGUCUGAAUCCGCCUCAGAACAGAUAUCUUCCUCUGGAUUACAAUCUGGAGAGGGGUGGGGAGGGUUUGCGAUUGAACCCACCAUGGAGCGAUGUCUGCAUGACAUUGUAUUGCCACGCAAAACUCUUCUCUUUUUCUCUACAUGUUCAGCAUGACUGUGUACAAUAUCUGACAUGCAUACGAAAAAAAUAUAUGGUGAGAUUAUGUAAGGAGAGCAUGCAGAAAUUUAGAGUGAUGGUAACAACCAGUGGAUCAACAUUUUUCCGUUGAACCAAAAUAGCCCUAAUGGAUCGACGUGAAUGUAUAGUAAUAAGUGAUGCAACAAGUGUACAACCUCUUUGCCGUAGCCGUGUCGACCUCAGCAUCAUUGGGUUGGUCGCUAAAGCAGUUGAGGCAGAGGUGGCUGUCGGAGGUGUGGAGGGAGAUCUGAGGAAUCUGUAGACGGCGUCCAGGGCACUGCUCUGUUGUGAUGGAUCGUUCUGUCGUUGGAGCAGCUCCGGUGAGCCGUAAGACGUCAAGGCUGAAGCAGCACAAGACAGACAUCGUCAAUCUCAAGUGGUAUUCUAAUAGCAUCUCCAAUAGAUGAUGUAAAAUGGAUGAAAAAUUAACAUCACCAAAAACCACCUGACUACAACAGAUGAGGUAAAAAUUGUUGACUCUGAACUUAACUGUCAAAACUGAAAUUUACUGUGGAAUCUGAAUGCUACUGUCGAAACUGAACGCAAUGGUAGCAGAGAGGCACUUGACAUGUAGUUUAGGGAGGGCCUAUAGUUCAUCUUCAACCUGCACCCCCCUGAGCCGCCAGCCACCACCGCCUGAACCGCCGGCCCCAGCGCUGCCUCGCCGCCCCGAAACAACUCGCCACCGCCACCCCGGCCAGCCCUCUAGGUCCCCCGCCCCCACCCUGAAUCCUAAGAUAGAUAGUGGGGUACCUCUCCGGCGAGCCCCCGUCCCCGCUGCGGGUGGUUCUUCCUUAACUCCGGCGAGCCCCCCAAGCCCUGAAAAUCGACUGACGCAAAAGUCGAUUCAGUCGACUGAAGUGUGGCUUAAUCGGAGCAGAGCAGCAGCACGAGCGAGGGGGAGAGCAGCAGCAGCAGCUGGGCGAGCGAGCGAUCGAGCGAGAGCCGGAGCAGCAGCAGCAGAUCCGGCUGGUAUGGAUGCCGCCGCCGAAGGGUCCUCGCACUGGGGGAGAGCCGCCGUGGAGAUGUCGCCCGCGGCGCCGGCUUCAAGGUAGCCGCUCCAUGGGGGUGCGGGAUGGAGCACCGUCGGUGCCGGGAGGUCGAGUUAAGGAGAAGGUGCGAUGCGAUGAGUGUACAACCUCUUUGGUGGCGCCGAGUAGGCCGCGGCUUCGUCCGAGGAGUCGGUGAGGAUGCUGCGGUUCCGGUGGAGCAGGUUAAGGCGGCGCUGUGGGGAUGGAGCAGCCGGGAUAGACGAGGCGAUCGUCGGAGCAGCUCCUUGGAGGUGGAGGACGGGGCGGCUGAACCGGCGGGACGGCGAGAUGGACGACGGAUCCUCAUCCGGGGAGGUGGACGAGGGACGUCGAGCUGUUGCGGUGGACGACGUCGUCGGGGGAGAGGCUGCGGCUGGGCAGCGGUGACGUGGCGGACGGAGGAGGGUGGGGUUUCGCGGCUGGAGCGGAGAGGUUAUGGCGGCUUGGGAUUUCGAAUGGCGAAAAGGGGGCGAUGGGAGGGGGUGAAGCAUGACUUAGGGACGCGCUUGUCCAAAAUGUAGGGUGUGUUACAAAAGUACCCCCCACCGAUUUGAACUAGCGGCCCUUUCGGCUCAGGGUUAGAAGGGGGAUUUCGCGUGUCGAGAUUUGGGAGCUGGAGGGAGUUUUCGCGCACGUAGUAAUUUCGGGAUAGCAAGGCGCGGGUUGUGAAGGCGCCAGUUUUGGGAGCACGAUAUCUGAAUUUUCGGGAUAUAACAAGACGCGGGUUCAAUUUUAGGGACAAGCCUAACGUGUAGUAAUAUUGUACUUGUACUGUCACGACCGGUUUUUCAAUAAAAUAUUUAUUGAGAGACCAAUCCCUUUUACGGACCAGUAAAGAAGAAUUCCUUCUCACUGGUAGACAAUACCUUGGUCACAGAAGAAAAAUACCAGGAGUACUGAAUAUAAUACAAGGUUGAGCGGAGACUGCUCAACAAUUUAUUACAUGUACGCCGAUCAAACAUAAUGGCAGAUAGGGUGGCAUAACUACUAACUCACGAUAACAACGAUGGUGGAAAUAUCACCGCGGUGUGGGUGAUAUGACUCCUGAAAGACUAACAACUCUUCGAGCGUCCGAGUGAGGCUCGAGGAGACUUAUUGCGGGUGGCGGAAGCGUAUAUGAUACAAGUGACCAAUAUCCAGGAUCGCACGGGACUGACUGGGACUCCUCUAGGCGUCGGACUCACUAUCAAACUCUUCAUCCAUGAGAUCGCCUUCGUCAACAUCUGGCCAAAUCAACAAGCCAGGUGAGUACUAUGAAAGUACUCGCAAGACAGUUCAGACAUAAGAUAUAACAAAUGUAAGCAUGGAGCAUAAGAACAGGUUAACAAGUGCAUUCAGACAUCGAGUCAAUAAUGCAUGGGAAAUAAAAGAGAAGUCGGGCGGUAGUCCUCCCGAAAUCCCAAAAUAAAUACUGGGUGCCAAACGAGGGUCUGAAUGACUCCUCGAGAGGAAAAUGCAAGAAUAACAAUGCCGCAGUCGGGCGUCAGGGCGACACCACAUAAAGGGCUUAUAAUAGAAAAUAAAAGAUAGUACGUGCCACAGUCGGACGUCUGAGCGACAUCGCAGAAAGGGCUUAUAUCAAAUGUAAAUAACAUAAGUGCCACGGUCGGACGUCUGAGCGACAUCACAUAAAGGGCUUAUAUCGAAAGUAAAAGACAAACAUGCCACAGUCGGACGUCUGAGCGACAUCGCAGAAAGGGCUUAUAUCAAAAGUAAAUAACAUAAGUGCCACAGUCGGACGUCUGAGCGACAUCACAUAAAGGGCUUAUAUUCAUAACUUAGUAACUCAUGAAUUUUAAAUCAUAUCAAGAGAAUAAUCAGGCAUGAGCUAAACAACAGGGUUAGUCCAUCCACAGGAAUAACGUUCAGCCAAGUUUACCACUCAAGUUUGGUUACCGGGGAUAAUACCAUGAGGACUUGACAUAGAUAUGCAUACGCUGAUCAUGAUACUUGACCUUGGAUACGAUGACUCGGAAGGAUUUGACUCUGCAGAGUUUGUACUUUAACCACAGCCAACGGAUUUCAGUAGUCACGGGGACUAGUUCCAUUUACGGUGUUUUGGAAGAAACACGUCUAACCAGUACACACCCAUUCAACAUUCCGAAGCCAGGAAUCACCCUCGGCAACGUUCAAGAAAAACCUUGAGACGGGGAGGCUACAACCUCGCGUAGCAUGGGAUCAAAUUUCUAUACGCGCGCUCUAAGGGGUGCCCCCCUCUCGGUCCCAACCGGAAACACCCAUGCCCCCUGACCGGAUGACUGGCUUUAAUCCAGGGCCAUGGAACCAUCAUCCUGGCCCCUCUGUUUGGUGUGUACACGGAAAGAGGUUACCAACUUACUAAACCGCAUUCUGGCAGAAAACAAGUGCUAGCACGGAAGGGGAAAGAACGAUAACGUGACUCCGUCCACGUUAACGUCGGAAAGUAUCGGAUGACGUAAGGCUGGCAUGCUACAACAGUACCACCUUACUGCCCUUCAUGUCACCACAUGACUAGACCAUCUCUCAUCAGAGAUCACAGUAACUCCGGAAUACACGGGUAGUUGCCUCACAUGCAACUAGAUACUCACCGAUACUCAUAUGCCAUGCACAACCUUUCACGCAAACAUGAAAAACACCCAUCAUAUGAAAGGUUCAAACAUGCUUGCCUGGUUCGGAGAAGUCGGAGUCUAGCUCGGCGAAGUUCGCGGCUCCGUCACCUCUCCCGGAACCUACGGUAUAGCGAAAAAUGCAUACUAACGUGAAAACCAACGCGUGCAUAAAAGUUGUUCCAAUUUUUUUUCAAAUAAAUCCCAUAAAAAACUAGACAAAAUUAUAAGACUGCCAGAAAAAGAAUCACUCAAAAAUCACUUUUUAUUAAAAAGUUAUAAGGGUUUCUGUCCAGGGACUCAUCUGUAAUGAAACAGAAAAGUUCCAGGGGUUUAACUGAGAAACAGAAAACGGUUCGAAUAGAAACGCGCCAGCCCACAGAGAAAACGUACUCUUCCUGAGGGCGCCAACAGAAAAUGCUUCGGGGUGAAAGAAGAGAGGCUGACGUGGGGGGUCCACAUGUCAGGUUUGAAAAACCUCGCCGGCGCCCGAAGGCUGCGGUGGUCGCCGGUGUCGAACCACGGCGAGUCAGGGAGAUCGGAGUGUACCAAGAGUAUCAGCGUGUCCUUCCGCGUCGGUGGGUGGUGGACUUGGGCAUCGGGGAGCACCACGUCGACGGCGACACUUUCUCCGGCGGACGGCGGCUCGGGUGAUGGUGGGGAACUCCGGUGGUGUGCUGCAAACUUCGAAUUGAAGCGCGGGUCCGGAGGAGGGAUGCACUAGAGGGCUACUGGCAAGAGAUGGGAGGCAGAGGUGCACGCACGAGAGAGAAUCGAGCUGGAUCCCGUGGCGGGUCGCGGCGGCCGGAGUUGAGGAAGGAGACUUCCUCGGGGCUCUUCCAGUGGCUAGGCGGGGUCUUGGUGGAGUGCAAAGGUGGUGUGGGUACUAGCUGGAGCUCGGGGCCUCUAUUUAUAGGCGGCUCGAGGGGGUGGCCGUGAACGGAGAAUCUCCGGCGAGCAAUUACGGCGAGGCAGUGGAUUGGCAGGGGGUUUAGGUGGCCAGGCAGCAUCAGUGGGAGUUACUGGUCCCGUUCCACUGCUAAACUCGGUCGGGCAUGGCGUAAUGGCGCCGGUCUUCGUCGGGGUUGCCGUACUGGCACGGCGGCGGCAGAGAGCGCGCUCCGCGCCUAGCGGUUCACGACGAGGGUGGCAGCGCGCAUGGGGGAGUGGAAGACCACGCGGCAGCCUCCGGUGGCUUGGGCGGCGCUGGCCAGCGCCGUCUACGCUGUGCUUCUUCCUGGCGGCCGCAAAGCCGCCGCUGGCGUCGGUCACGGGGCGGCGCACCUCCUGCUGCUCGUCGCCGAUGCCCGCAAGCAUCCAGGCGCUCGUGCGGUGCAGAGGACAAGGGGGAGGGGAAAGGGAACACGGCGACGCCGGGGCACUGGUGAGAUCGGCAACGGACACUGAAGAAACGACAGUGGUUCAGACACUGUUAACGGAAUUUGACUGAACAUGAUAUUGACAGUGCUCUGAAGGUGUUCGAUGAAAUGAUAUGGUGUGAAGAAAUUUUUUCCUAGGGCUGGGGCUUGGUGAGGUGACCACUCAAUGCACCCAGAGGCUGCCUGAUUUUACUCAGAAUUUUUGGAGAGGGAUUUGAAUGAAUUUCAUCAAAUUUGGCAAAUCUGGUCCAAACUUGCAGCAAGUAUAGUUUGAUAAAUUUGAACUGGAGACCAGUGGAUCUUCAUGGAUCUUGGUUGAGGGUUCAAAGGACUAGGAAGGGAAAUUGGUUUGGGGGCAAAAAUCAAAGCAGAAGGGGUAGUUCCUUUGUAAACCUCCAAGGAUCAAGAUAUAAGGCAGAAAUUGUUUUUGAUUAGAAAUAAAUGGGAAAAUUUAUAUGGAGAGGUUCAACUUGCUGGUUUUGAAGUAAAUCAUGAUUCAAAGACGAGGAAAGGUUUAUGGGAGUGGAUUUGCACUAAGGUCAUGGCAAGAGAGAUUUGUUGAAAGUGGAAAAAGAUCAUUUCAAAAGCCAUAGGGCAUUUUCAAAGAAAAUUUCAAAGGAUAUUUUUCCCAGGUGAAAAGUAUUUUGGUUUGAGUCCAAUUAAAAAGAAAGAACCUUCAAGACCAAAAUCAAGUCUUGGGGGAAUCCAAAUAAAACUCUUGCCAUAAAGAAAAAAAAAAUUUUGAAAGGAAGGGUUCUUAUGAAGGAAAAUUUAAAUCACCUCCCUCAAGCCAAAUAAAUUUUUUAAGAAAAAUCCAAAUAAAAUUUUGGGUGUCACAACACCUACCCCCUUAGGAAAAAUCUCGUCCUCGAGAUUUCAGCUGAUCCUCAAAUAGAUAUGGAUACUCUGCCUGGAGAAAUUCUUCCCUUUCCCAUGUAGCUUCAUCCUUAGUGUGGUUGCUCCACUGAACUCUGAAUAUCUUUGUCGUUUUCUGACGGGUCCUCCUUUCAGACUCUUCCAAUAUCUUUACUGGCCGCUCUCUGUAGGUGAGAUCUGGUUGCACAUCAAUGCCCUCAUGAGAUACUUGCUUCUCCGGGUUACUUACACAUUUUCUCAAUUGUGAGACGUGGAAUACGUCAUGGACGUCUGACAGCUCCUUGGGUAGGUCUAAUUGGUAGGCUACCGUGCCUCUUCGUGCAAUUAUACAGAAUGGUCCAAUAAAUCUCUGGGCUAGCUUCCCCUUAAUUUUGAACCGUUGCAGACCCCUCAUAGGAGAUACUCGGAGGUAUACGGAAUCACCGGGCUCAAAGCUGACCUCACGAUGCUUUUGAUCGUAGUAGCUCUUUUGUCGGCUCUGUGCUGUCUUGAGUCUGUCCCUGAUCUGUUUAACUUUCUCCUCGGCCUCCUUGAGCAUGUCUGGGCCGAAGAUACGACUGUCACCUGUUUCUGACCAAUUCAGUGGGGUACGGCACCUCCGUCCGUACAAUGCUUCAAAGGGUGCCAUUUGUAAGCUUGCUUGGUAAGUGUUGUUGUAAGCAAACUCGGCAUACGGCAAACUCUCUUCCCAACUGGAUCCAUACGUAAGCACACAGGCUCUCAGCAUAUCUUCUAGGAUUUGGUUCACACGUUCUGUUUGUCCAUCAGUUUGAGGGUGGUACGCUGUACUGAAAGCUAGUUGCGUGCCCAGAGCUUGUUGCAGGUGAUCCCAAAAUUUGGAGACAAACUGGGUGCCUCGGUCGGAUAUUAUAGUCUUUGGGACUCCAUGCAAACAAACUAUACGGGAGAGAAUAAGCUUGGCCAGCCCUUGUGUGGAGUAGGUAGUCUUCACGGGAAUGAAAUGAGCAACCUUGGUUAGGCGGUCGGUGAUGACCCAUAUGGCGUCAUUUCCGCGUUGUGAUCGAGGUAGUCCGACGAUGAAGUCCAUUCCUAUUUCAUCCCAUUUCCACUCCGGUAUCCUGUUUGGCUGGAGUAGCCCUGCUGGCUUUUGAUGCUCGGCCUUGAUGCGCUGACAUGAAUCGCAACAACCAAUAAAUGCGGCUAUAUCCCUUUUCAUACCGUGCCACCAAAAUCUCUCCUGAAUGUCUUUGUACAUUUUAGUUCCUCCAGGGUGGAUCAAGUAUGGAGCGGUGUGGCUUUCGGUUAGGAUUUGUUGCUUGAGUUCCUCAAUGUUAGGUACGCAAAGUUUGUCUCCGUACCAUAAUAUUCCUUCACUGUCUGUGAAGAACUCUGAAGCCUUACCAAGGUUCAUUUUCUUUUUUAUACCUUCGAUGCUGGGAUGUCCCUGUUGAGCCUUCUUAAUUUGUUCCACUAGGGUGGGUUGUAUCUCCAGAUUUUAUACGGUGCCCUCAGAGACUAACACCAUGUUGAGCCUAGCAAACUCUUGCUGAAACUCAGGCCUCAAGUUUUGCGGACCGUCGUUGUCUGGGCUGGGGUUUCGACUAAGGGCAUCGGCCACUACAUUUUCUUUCUCUGGAUGGUAGUGAAUAUCGACAUCAUAGUCCUUGACCAAUUCCAACCAGCGUCGUUGGCGUAAGUUUAGCUCUGGUUGCGUGAAAAUAUAUUUAAGGCUCUGAUGGUCCGUAUAUAUUUCACAGUGAUUUCCCAAUAGAAAGUGCCUCCACUCCUUGAGUGCAUGUAUGACUGCUGCUAGCUCCAAGUCAUGUGUUGGGUAAUUUUCCUCAUGUUUUCGCAGCUGCCUGGAGACAUACGCGACGACUUUGCCAUCCUGCAUUAGUACACACCCAAGGCCCUUUCGGGACGCGUCACAAUAUACUUCAAAACUCUUGUGUAUGUCUGGCACAGUUAGGACCGGUGCGGUUGUUAGUUUCUCCUUGAGCUCUUGGAAGCUUUUCUCGCAUGCUUCCGUCCAUACAAAUUUCUUGUCUUUCUUGAGCAACUGUGUUAUAGGCUUUGCCACAGUGGAGAAUCCUUCAAUGAAUCUUCUGUAAUAUCCGGCCAUUCCAAGGAAACUCCGCACAUCUGUCACGUUGGCGGGUGGCUUCCAGUCAAGUAUGGCUUUGACUUUUUCUGGGUCUACGGCCACGCCUUCUUGGUUUAAUAUGUGGCCUAGGAAACCAACUUGCCUUAGCCAAAAUUCACACUUGCUAAAUUUGGCAUACAACUGAUGUUUCCUUAAUUCUCCCAAAACAAUUCUGAGAUGCUCAGCAUGCUCUUCCGGUGUCCUCGAGUAAACCAGAAUAUCGUCGAUGAACACCACAACAAAUUUGUCCAUGAAUUUCAUGAACACUUUAUUCAUGAGGUGGACGAAAUAUGCGGGGGCGUUCGUUAGUCCAAAAGGCAUCACUGUGAAUUCAUAUAAUCCGUAUCUGGAGGUGAAUGCUGUUUUAGGGUAUCUUCUGUCCGUACUUUCAAUUGAUGAUAUCCCGAUCUCAAAUCAAUUUUUGAGAACACCUUGGCUUGUGCGAGCUGGUCAAACAAAUCAUUUAUCCGUGGCAUCGGAUAUUUGUUUUUGAUGGUGACCAUAUUGAGAGCUCGAUAGUCUAUACACCGUCUCAGUGUCCCAUCCUUUUUCUUGGCGAAUAAUACUGGCGAUCCCCAUGGUGAGGAGCUGGCUCGAAUAAAUCCUUUGUCCAAUAAUUCCUUUAUCUGCUUCUUCAACUCCACCAAUUCUGAGGGUGCCAUUCUAUAAGGUUUCUUAUAGAUGGGAGUGGUGCCAGGUGCUAGUUCAAUGCUGAACUCUAUCUCUCGGUCUGGUGGCAUGCCUGGUAGUUCUUCAGGAAAUACGUGAGGAAACUCGCAUACCACUGGAACUUUUCUCAGUUCUGAAAGGUCCACUUUGUUCAGCUUUGGUUGCCGUGACCGUGGUCUUUCUUGAGCUGUAACCUUUAUUGUCUUGCCGUGAUGGUGAGUGAGAAUCACGGUCCGAUUGAAACAGUCAAUGAAUCCUUUGUUGGUGGUCAACCAGUCCAUCCCUAAAAUGACAUCCAGUCCUUUAUUUUCCAACACGAUGAGAUUAGCUUGGAACUGCAGUCCUUCAAACUCAAUGAUCAUUCCUUGGCAGUAACUUUGAACGAUUUGCUUAUUUCCGGGGGACUUGAUCAUAGAUUUUUCCAAGGGAAGUAUCGGAAAACCAUGUUGCAAAACAAAGCUCUUCGAAACGAACGAAUGGGAAGCUCCAGAAUCAAACAAAACCGUGGCAGGUACUGUGUUGACAGGGAACGUAUCGAGCAUGAUGUCUGGGGCAUUAUUUUGCAAAACUCAUGAGAAGAACUGUGUGGCACAAGGAAAAUCUUGCAAAGGCAAAAAUUUAAAAGACCUCAAGAUUUUUCAAGAAAGCAUAAAUGACUUCGCACGGAGAAGAACUGCUUAACACCAAUCUUACACGCGAAAAGCAAACACACGAUACAACACUCAGGAUGUGCGUACACAAUCCUGACAUGUUAUUUAGACUAGCACACUCCUCCGGAAUGCAGCGAACACACUAAUACAAACUAGCGUACAGACAAAACACAUCAUACCAGCAGACAUAACGCGCGGCUACUCGGCGCUCUCAGUAGGAGAUGGUGACGAUGUCCUUUCUGUUGCCGAGGGCAAGACUCAGCGGUGCAGGAGAGUCAACCUCCCCCUCCUCUCUAGCAGGUUCCUGGCGCGUGACACUGCGCUGCGGUGAUGGCGCGGGUGCGGCAGGCGGUGCAGCUCUGACUGGAGUAGGAGCGAUGACUCGGUCGAACUCCUCAGUGGUAGGUAGACGGCGAGCCGUGGCCAAAAUGGCUGGUGCAUAAGAGGCUGAAGACGAGACGAAUGUCAGAGGCGGUGCUGUGAGGAGAAGCUCCUUCCUGCUGGCAGGACCGCCCCGGACUAAGUCCAUGCGGGCAGCCACAAGAUUGUCCACGAGGUUGUCGAAGGAUUCCUCCAGAGCCUUGAGGUACUCCACGACCAUCUCGAUGGCUUCAUCUCGCUCUUCCCGAUGGCAGGCGAAUGCAUAGUGACAAGUGUAUGGCACAUGGCAUGGGAGGUAGCGGUAGCGACGAGUCUUCAUCAUAGGAAGGAUGUCCCGAAGGCGAGCUAUCGCCUCACGGGCAGCCAUCUGCAUGGCAUGCCUCUCCGUAGGCAUGGCCCUUCCCACAAAACGGAAGUGGCGAGAUGCAGAACGCCCUCCCUUGAAUUGCACCACGGCUUGGUGCAUAGACACGUCGUCGCUGAGCUUGUGCUGGUAAAGCGUGAACUCCGGACGAGUCGCUGGCCCGAUCACGAGCUUGGUGAUAGAGACGAGGAGUUUGACAAACCCCUCGGGCACAUUCGUGAACACUCGAGUCUCGCAGUUGCUGCCAGCCAUCUACAAAAGUAGGCAAAAAUUCUGAGUAGUCAAGUCAUAAAUUUAUGAUGACCAACAGAAAAUAGCUACAAUUGCAAAAUGCUGAAAAAGCACAAAAGACGCUAAUAACCGAUUAGCGAUCGCACCUAGUGGCUUCCUACAGUCAGCCUGGCUCUGAUACCAAGCUUGUCACGACCGGUUUUUCAAUAAAAUAUUUAUUGAGAGACCAAUCCCUUUUACGGACCAGUAAAUAAGAAUAUCUUUUCACUGGUAGACAAUACCUUGGUCACAGAAGAAAAAUACCAGGAGUACUGAAUAUAAUACAAGGUUGAGCGGAGACUGCUCAACAAUUUAUUACAUGUACGCCGAUCAAACAUAACGGCGGAUAGGGUGGCAUAACUACUAACUCACGAUAACAACGGUGGUGGAAAUAUCACCACGAUGUGGGUGAUAUGACUCCUGAAAGACUAACAACUCCUCGAGCGUCGGAGUGCGGCUCGAGGAGACUUAUUGCGGGUGGCGGAAGCGUAUAUGAUACAAGUGACCAAUAUCCAGGAUCGCACGGGACUGACUGGGAUUCCUCUAGGCGUCGGACUCACUAUCAAACUCUUCAUCCAUGAGAUCGCCUUCGUCAACAUCUGGCCAAAUCAACAAGCCAGGUGAGUACUAUGAAAGUACUCGCAAGACAGUUCGGACAUAAGAUAUAACAAAUGUAAGCAUGGAGCAUAAGAACAGGUUAACAAGUGCAUUCAGACAUCGAGUCAAUAAUGCUUGGGAAAUAAAAGAGAAGUCGGGCGGUAGUCCUCCCGAAAUCCCAAAAUAAAUACUGGGUGCCAAACGAGGGUCUGAUUGACUACUCGAGAGGAAAAUGCAAGAAUAACAAUGCCGCAGUCGGGCAUCAGGGCGACACCACAUAAAGGGCUUAUAAUUGAAAAUAAAAGAUAGUACGUGCCACAGUCUGACAUCUGAGCGACAUCGCAGAAAGGGCUUAUAUCAAAUGUAAAUAACAUAAGUGCCACGGUCGGACGUCUGAGCGACAUCACAUAAAGGGCUUAUAUCGAAAGUAAAAGACAAACAUGCCACAGUCGGAUGUCUGAGCGACAUCGCAGAAAGGGCUUAUAUCAAAAGUAAAUAACAUAAGUGCCACAGUCGGACGUCUGAGCGACAUCACAUAAAGGGCUUAUAUUAAUAACUUAGUAACUCAUGAAUUUUAAAUCAUAUCAAGAGAAUAAUCAGGCAUGAGCUAAACAACAGGGUUAGUCCAUCCACAGGAAUAACGUUCAGCCAAGUUUACCACUCAAGUUUGGUUACCGGGGAUAAUACCACGAGGACUUGACAUAGAUAUGCAUACGCUGAUCACGAUACUUGACCUUGGAUACGAUGACUCGGAAGGAUUUGACUCUGCAGAGUUUGUACUUUAACCACAGCCAACGGAUUUCAGUAGUCACGGGGACUAGUUCCGUUUACGGUGUUUUGGAAGAAACACGUCUAACCAGUACACACCCAUUCAACAUUCCGAAGCCAGGAAUCACCCUCGGCAACGUUCAAGAAAAACCUUGAGACGGGGAGGCUACAACCUCGUGUAGCAUGGGAUCAAAUUUCUAUACGCGCGCUCUAAGGGGUGCCCCCUCUCGGUCCCAACCGGAAACACCCAUGCCCCCUGACCGGAUGACUGGCUUUAAUCCAGGGCCAUGGAACCAUCAUCCUGGCCCCUCUGUUUGGUGUGUACAUGGAAAGAGGUUACCAACUUACUAAACCGCAUUCUGGCAGAAAACAAUAGAUAGCACGGAAGGGGAAAGAACGAUAACGUGACUCCGUCCACGUUAACGUCGGAAAGUAUCGGAUGACGUAAGGCUGGCAUGCUACAACAGUACCACCUUACUGCCCUUCAUGUCACCACAUGACUAGACCAUCUCUCAUCAGAGAUCACAGUAACUCCGGAACACACGGGUAGUUGCCUCACAUGCAACUAGAUACUCACCGAUACUCAUAUGCCACGCACAACCUUUCACGCAAACAUGCAAAACACCCAUCAUAUCAAAGGUUCAAACAUGCUUGCCUGGUUCGGAGAAGUCGGAGUCUAGCUCGGCGAAGUUCGCGGCUCCGUCACCUCUCCCGGAACCUACGGUAUAGCGAAAAAUGCAUACUAACGUGAAAACCAACGCGUGCAUAAAAGUUGUUCCAAUUUUUUUUCAAAUAAAUCCCAUAAAAAACUAGACAAAAUUAUAAGACUGUCAGAAAAAGAAUCACUCAAAAAUCACUUUUUAUUAAAAAGUUAUAAGGGUUUCUGUCCAGGGACUCAUCUGUAAUGAAACAGAAAAGUUCCAGGGGUUUAACUGAGAAACAGAAAACGGUUCGAAUAGAAACGCGCCAGCCCACAGAGAAAACGUACUCUGCCCGAGGGUGCCAACAGAAAACGCUUCGGGGGUGAAAGAAGAGAGGCUGACGUGGGGGGUCCACAUGUCAGGUUUGAAAAACCUCGCCGGUGCCCGAAGGCCGCGGUGGUCGCCGGCGUCGAACCACGGCGAGUCAGGGAGAUCGGAGUGUACCAAGAGUAUCAGCAUGUCCUUCCGCGUUGGUGGGUGGUGGACUUGGGCGUCGGGGAGCAACACGUUGACGACGACACUUUCUCCGGCGGACGGCGGCUCAGGUGAUGGUGGGGAACUCCGGUGGUGUGCUGCAAACUUCGAAUUGAAGCGCGGGUCAGGAGGAGGGAUGCGCUAGAGGGCUACUGGCAUGAGAUGGGAGGCAGAGGUGCACGCACGGGAGCGAAUCGAGCUGGAUCCCGUGGAGGGUCGCGGCGGCCGGAGUUGAGGAAGGAGACUUCCUCGGGGCUCUUCCAGUGGCUAGGCGGGGUCUUGGUGGAGUGCAGAGGUGGUGUGGGUACUAGCUGGAGCUCGGGGCCUCUAUUUAUAGGCGGCUCGAGGGGGUGGCCGUGAACGGAGAAUCUUCGGCGAGCAAUUACGGCGAGGCAGUGGAUUGGCAGGGGGUUUAGGUGGCCAGGCAGCAUCAGUGGGAGUUACUGGUCCCGUUCCACUGCUAAACUCGGUCGGGCAUGGCGUAAUGGUGCCGGUCUUUGUCGGGGUCGCCGUACUGGCACGGCGGCGGCAGAGAGCGCGCUCCGCGCCUAGCGGUUCACGAUGAGGGUGGCAGCGCGCAUGGGGGAGUGGAAGACCACGCGGCGGCCUCCGGUGGCUUGGGCGGCGCUGGCCAGCGCCGUCUACGCUGUGCUUCUUCCUGGCGGCCGCAAAGCCGCCGCUGGCGUCGGUCACGGGGCAGCGCACCUCCUGCUGCUCGUUGCUGACGGCCGCAAGCAUCCAGGCGCUCGUGCGGUGCAGAGGACAAGGGGGAGGGGACAGGGAACACGGCGACGCCGGGGCACUGGUGAGAUCGGCAACGGACACUGAAGAAACGACAGUGGUUCAGACACUGUUAACUGAAUUUGACUGAACAUGAUAUUGACAGUGCUCUGAAGGUGUUCGAUGAAAUGAUAUGGUGUGAAGAAAAUUUUUCCUGGGGCUGGGGCUUGGUGAGGUGACCACUCAAUGCACCCAAAGGCUGCCUGAUUUUACUCAGAAUUUUUGGAGAGGGAUUUGAAUGAAUUUCAUCAAAUUUGGCAAAUCUGGUCCAAACUUGCAGCAAGUAUAGUUUGAAAAAUUUGAACUGGAGACCAGUGGAUCUUCAUGGAUCUUGGUUGAGGGUUCAAAGGACUAGGAAGGGAAAUUGGUUUGGGGGCAAAAAUCAAAGCAGAAGGGGUAGUUCCUUUGUAAACCUCCAAGGAUCAAGAUAUAAGGCAUAAAUUGUUUUUGAUAAGAAAUAAAUGGGAAAAUUUAUAUGGAGAGGUUCAACUUGCUGGUUUUGAAGUAAAUCAUGAUUCAAAGAUGAGGAAAGGUUGAUGGGAGUGGAUUUGCACUAAGGUCAUGGCAAGAGAGAUUUGUUGAAAGUGGAAAAAGAUCAUUUCAAAAGCCAUAGGGCAUUUUCAAAGAAAUUUUCAAAGGAUAUUUUUCCCAAGUGAAAAGUAUUUUGGUUUGAGUCCAAUUAAAAAGAAAGAACCUUCAAGACCAAAAUCAAGUCUUGGGGGAAUCCAAAUAAAACUCUUGCCAUAAAGAAAAAAAUAUUUUGAAAGGAAGGGUUCUUAUGAAGGAAAAUUUAAAUCACCUCCGUGAAGUGAAAUAAUUUUUUAAGAAAAAUCCAAAUAAAAUUUUGGGUGUCACAUGUACGUACCAAAUCAAUUCACACUUCCCUCAACCAAAAAGAAAACAAAAAAAUAGAACUAUUCACACCACACAAAGAGAGAGUCUUGCCCCGUUUUACUAUACAAAUGCUAUUCAAACCUACUCCCUCCUUCCAUCUAUAUAGGGCCUAAUGCGUUUUUCGAUGCUAACUUUGACCAAAUAUUAGAGCAAUGAUAUAUGACAUGCAACUUACACAAAGCACACCGUUAAAUUCAUCUGUGAAAGGUUCUUUCAAUGAUAUAAUUUUCACAUUGUGCAUGUCAUGUACUAUUAAUCUUGUCAAUAGUCAAAGGCGGUCUUAAAAAUCUCAUUACGCCCUAUAUAGAUGGAAGGAGGGAGUAUGAAUCCAUGUUAUGUCCGAUUAAAUUUUUUUGCUUGCUGUAUAAUGCAUGUAACCUACUCAUACCAACAUUUUAGUGCAUUCCAAAUGUCUAUACUACCGCUGCAAUUCGAACUAAGUUUGAAUUUGUUUCUCUAUUUCAAUAAGAAUCUACAAUCAUGAUUGUUUCCAACUUCAACCAUCAUAGUUUCCUUGCUAUCCGCCAGAUAUAAAUCGGACGGCCUACAAUGCAGGAUGGCAGGCACACCAUCAUCAACAACUCCUUCUUUUAUAAGAGUAGAGAUAAAAUAUAUUAAAUGUAGUAUAACAUGUUCAUAACCACACCAUGUGUAUCACCGUUAUAUAUAUUCACACAUGCGUCGGUUUGAAACACUAUGAUAAAUUCUUCAAAUAUCCGAAUUCGCUUUUUAUAAUGAAGUAUAUAUGAUCUCUAUUCGUCUUUUACACCCACACAACCCUCUUAUCUUUGUAGCUAGCGCUAAAUUUCUCUUGUGCAUGCACACGCCCGCAUCCCUCUCACCCUCCCUCAGCAUUCUCUAGCUCCAUCGUGCAAAUUUGUCUUUUCACUUUAGGUCGUUCACCCACGGUGUGUGUAGGCCCCCAGCUCCUUCUUUAAGGCACACAUCGAUCGAUAUGCCUCUCUAGCCAGGCGUGCCUAGCACAAACACAAGCUUCCCCUCUUAUCUUGUCACCGUCCAUGCCUCACUCCCACCACUCUUUUCAUCGUUCUCGUACUCGCAGACUCCUCCCCCCUCGAUAUAGUAUGCCUCUCGUACCACCUCCUACAUGCAUCCCUCUCUCUCUAUCCUUCUCCUCAUGCCUCAUUUGCUUCUAACACACACAUGCAUGUAUACCGAUCGAUCUCCCAACAUAUACCUAGAUCGACUUUAACUACCCCCCCAUCGAUCGACGUACCUCACAAGUUAUGUCUCUCCUUUCUCUAACAAAGGGCGAUUGAUCUUCCUAUGUAGUUACGUCUGCUUACCACAGCCACAUCGUCCNNNNNNNNNNNNNNNNNNNNNNNNNNNNNNNNNNNNNNNNNNNNNNNNNNNNNNNNNNNNNNNNNNNNNNNNNNNNNNNNNNNNNNNNNNNNNNNNNNNNNNNNNNNNNNNNNNNNNNNNNNNNNNNNNNNNNNNNNNNNNNNNNNNNNNNNNNNNNNNNNNNNNNNNNNNNNNNNNNNNNNNNNNNNNNNNNNNNNNNNNNNNNNNNNNNNNNNNNNNNNNNNNNNNNNNNNNNNNNNNNNNNNNNNNNNNNNNNNNNNNNNNNNNNNNNNNNNNNNNNNNNNNNNNNNNNNNNNNNNNNNNNNNNNNNNNNNNNNNNNNNNNNNNNNNNNNNNCAUUCGUGCAUGCCUCCUGACCCGUCUCUCACACGCACGUGCACAGACAACAAGCAGCCAUCUCCUCUCUUAUUGAUAUUGCGGGCAUGCCCUCCGUUUGUCUAGCAAGCCUAUCCCACCAUUUGUUAGAAGCAACUCCACUACCACCCCCUCCAACACUCUAGCUCUGUCUCUCUCCCAACCUUAUUCCUCUCCUGCACAUAUGCAUGGAUGCCGAUCGAUCUCCCUUAAUACAUGAGGCAGAUCAAUCUCCUUAAUACAUGAGGUAGGCCUCUCUCCUCCUCCACACAUAUACCAGCAACUGUACCUCUAUAGUUAAUUGGGCCUCCCUCUUCCCCCACCACACACCGAUAGUCGAGCGCUGCAGGUAGGUAUCCAUCCCACAGAGACAAACUGCACAUGUCCCAUCUCACGUUCCAGUAGGCCAGCCACUCUAUAUCUUUGACGUGGGCACACACAAAUUCGAUGGCACUCUUUAUCGAUCGCGCGCGCACACACACACAUAUCAUCCCUCUCUUCGAUUCUAUGGACACCUCAAGCCGAUGAUACCUCCACUCCCUUCUUGUGGAUCGCCCCCUCUAUAUAUAUGUUAUAUCCAGGACUCUAUUUCACACACAUUGCAUAUGNNNNNNNNNNNNNNNNNNNNNNNNNNNNNNNNNNNNNNNNNNNNNNNNNNNNNNNNNNNNNNNNNNNNNNNNNNNNNNNNNNNNNNNNNNNNNNNNNNNNNNNNNNNNNNNNNNNNNNNNNNNNNNNNNNNNNNNNNNNNNNNNNNNNNNNNNNNNNNNNNNNNNNNNNNNNNNNNNNNNNNNNNNNNNNNNNNNNNNNNNNNNNNNNNNNNNNNNNNNNNNNNNNNNNNNNNNNNNNNNNNNNNNNNUCUCUCUAGGUUUGUAUCUCUCUCACGCAACCCCACGUAGGUGGUGUACGUAUACAAGAAGAGAAUAGGUGCACCGUGCACGUACUCACGCUUAGUGCCCAGCCACACCCGCGCGGGUACACGGUGGAGCUCAUUUCUUUACGAAAUGGCAGCCCAUGUGCUAAUUUGAACGCCUGUAGCGGUUGUUUACCUAGGGAGGUCGUGUACCACGCGUGGACGAAACAAAGUUCGACUUGACGCGUUGCCGCGUUAUUUUUAAAUAAAGUUAUAGCGCUCAAUGGCACGUACACAGAAUAUAAAACGAUUUUUAUGGAGAAAAAGGUAGUCCGCUCACUAUAUACAAUGGAGCCUGCCUGCCUGGUUUGUCGCUCUUCAGAGUAUCUCACACAAGGCUGCGGUGGCCUCUCUCUCUCACCGUUGGUCACUGAUCCGGCCGCAUCCCGUCCGCCGGGGGAAAGGGAGUGCGAUGGCCUCUCUCUCUCUCACCGUUGGUCACUGAUCCGGCCGCAUCCCGUCCGCCGAGGGAAAGGGAGUGCGGUGGCCUCUCUCUCUCACCGUUGGUCACUGAUCCGGGCGCAUCCCAUCCGCCGGGGGAAAGGGAGGAAGUGCAUCAUUUCUCCAUUUGAUGGCGCCGAGGCAGCACGUCCCGAUCAAGGGUACACGCCGUUCUCUCUGACCAAGCUCCGGCGCGGCAGGGCCUACGCCACCUGCUCGCAGAUUCCGCCCGCCGCUGCUCACCUAGUUACAUCCCGACGACCUCCAGGUAUCCCCUCCGGCCUUGCUCCACUGCCCGUCUUCCCACAUCGCUGCGUGUGGAUCUUCCAUAGUUCUUUGGCCAAAACAUAGCUCGUCCGGCAUACUUUCCAUAUUGCAUUCUCGUCCUCACACCGUUUUAGACAAACACAACCGUGUUGUUAUCUUCCCUUAGGACAAGGAAUAUGCUUCUUUUUUGUCGUCGCAUGUGUCAUCAACUGGUAUUGGCCAGUAAUGGUUUCCUUUCUACUCGUUGCUAUUGCGACCUUUUGGUGAACUGCACAAAUCACUUUUUUCUUAAGAGUGUUUUGUGCAGUUGUACUAAAAUGUCACACGGGCAACGUCUCUACAUUUCAGUGCGACUGCACAAAGGGAGAUUGGUUUUGCUCUAUCCUCCUCAUCCAACUCCGAGCCUAAUAUUCUCCAACUAGUUAGUCUUAAGAGAGACUGCGAAGGUGACCGGCUUCUAUUUGUGUGUUUAUUGUUUCAUCAGCAGUCCUCUAUUAUCGUAAUCACACUUAAUAUCUUUGGAACAGGGAUGCUCAGCUCUAUUUUAGUGGAACUGCACAAAAUGAUCGGAAUGUUGCAUGCUCCAGACAGCUACUUUUUUUCCCAACAUGCCUUGUUGAUUUAGACAGAGCUGGGGGGAUGUUGCUGCCAAUGAAAGCAUGGAUCAAUUUUAAUUUAACACCUUCUCACAACUUUGUCUUCAGUUGUGAUGUAAUUAUUAGCUCUGAUCUACUAAUAAUUGACAUGCAUUAGCAAGGAAGUUAGUUUUUUAUUGUUUCCGAAAGAGCAUCGAUGGCAAGACACGCGAAACAAAAGCUGAAAGCUCACACCAUUGUACAAUUUCAUGUCGCUGUAAAAUUAUUUGUAUAGUACGUCAAUUAUGUAAACAAAUGAUGGAAGCUUGAUAGCAUUGCCAGAAGCCUCUUCAUCAUCCGGGUCCAUGUGCCGUGCACAAAAUUAUACUCCUUCAUUCCUAAAUAUUUGUCUUUUUACAAAUUUCAAACGGGCAUAUUUUAGAGUGUAGAUUCACUCAUUUUGCUUCGUAUGUGUACUCCCUCCGUUCCUAAAUAUUCUAUUCGUCUUUCUGGAGAUUUCAACAAGUGACUACAUAUGGAGCAAAAUGAGUGAAUCUACACUCUAAAAUAUGUCUAUAUACAUCUGUAUGUGCCAGUCCAUUUGAAAUCUCUAAAAAGACAAAUAUUUGAGUAGUCACUCGUUGAAAUCUCUAGAAAGACAAAUACUCCGGAGUAUAUUUAAGAACCGAGGGGGUAGUGCACAACCGCAUGGGAGGCUCAGCCCGGUCGUUGCGCCGCAUUAAUAGUGAGUAAUGAGCAGUUAAAUCAUAAACCCCAUCUUUCCCACUGUAAGUUGCUCUGAAGAAGCAACCAUCAAUACGCUCUUCUUUGAAUCCGCUAAUACUACUCCAUCCGUCACUAUUUAUACCGCGCUUCAGAAGAAAAAAAUCUGUGGGACCAAGGCGACUAGCGAUCGGCCUGAAAAAUAGCAUUGGUAGUUAUAGCACGGCGUCUAUUACUAGAGGGAAUAAUGCGUACACACAUGCAUGCAGUGCUUCCACCCCGGGUACACACAUGCAUGCACUUACUCCACUCCGUAGUAGUACAGUACAUGGAGAGAAAAUUGUGGACUUGAUUGCGGUUACCACGCCCUAAUUAAUUGAGCAUUAAACCAAACGCGUCUAAAGUCUCUCUCAUGGUGGAAAUGCAUUGAGAGAAAUGCAUCAUAAUGAAGCGCGCCCUGUAAACUGUGAUGGAGGGAGGAGUAGUAUGAAGGUGCAAAACCAAGUACGCGUAUGGCCAGUCGGUCAACGCAACUCCUCUUGGCAUAUCACUGACAUGUGGGACAGGAGUGUGAGCAAACCGAUCUCAAUUGACAGCAAAGAGCCAACCCGCCGUUCCUUGAGAGAGAUGAGGAGCGAGAACACACAGACGGGCUCGCACGGAGGCCAAGAUAUAUUCGAGCAUGGUUGGUUGAUCGAUAUCAUUCAUUACAUGUUGGGCUGCCGUUUUCCGCCCUUCUCCGGAAUAAACGUGUACUUCAUCAGAGAUAAAAAAAUAAGAGUACAGACGGUCCACCAUGCGGUUCUAGUAGUAGUACUACUCGUACUACUGCGCUUGGCUCUUCGCCUCUUCGUGAAGUCGAACAAUGAUGGUACUCCGGAUGUUGGGUACUACAGUGUAUGCCUUUGACAAUCUGACACCGAAUGGACUGAUGCAUGUCCACCGAGGGUAGGUUGCAUUAGUCAAAAGGCGUAAGCGAGCUUCACCUUGUCCUGCAAGCUUCUCCUCGUUCUGCGAGUUGAUGGGAUACACCAAAAAGUAGUGCUAGUCCAUACUCCCUCCUUUCUGGUUAUUAUGGCUUAAUCUUUUUUGCGGGUAAAUGAGAAAGCUUUAUUCAUAUAUAAGCAUUCUUAGGACGAUCAGCCAAGACACUGGUCAGUAGGAAGCGAGGUACCCCGCAAAAAAAGAAGUAGGAAGCGAGGUGUUUCAUCAAGCCAGCUCUCGGCCACAUUCAAAGUGCAGCAAGCACGGUUCGCACGAAGGUGCGCCGCACGGUUCGCACGAAGAUGUGCCGCAAGGUUUGCUGACCUGUUUACUUUGCGCUUGGCUGUUCGCCUAUUCGGGAAGUCGAACAAUAAUAGCACUAGUAGUAUAGUGUAUGCUUCUGGCAAUCUGACACCGAAUUAACUGUUGCACGUCCACCGCCUGAGCGAGGGAGAGCUUACAUUAGUCAAAAGUUUCUCCUUGUCCUGCGAGCCACCGCGCGCAAGCUUCUCCCGUCCUGCAACCUUCUCCUUGUUCGGCAAGUUGACGGGACACAGCAAAGUAAUGCUAGUCCAUACUGCCUCCUCUCCGGUUAAUAUUGUCUUAAUUUCAAACGAGAUAAAUACACUGUCUGUCACUGUAUAUUUGUAAAAUUACGGUCAGUGGACUUCAUAAUACGCUCAUUGCGCUCAAUAUAUAUAUUUUCCGGUGUUUAUACGGUCACUAGCUCACCCUGACUGAGUAUGUGUGUGCAUGCACGUGUAGGUUGAGCACUUGAGCGUGACCGUGUGUGUUCCGUCGUGUGCUCGGACAUGCAUGCAUUAGGGCGUCGCGCGCGUUUUUGCGUCCAUGUGUACGUGUGACUGUUGCAUACACGUAGGGGGAGUACGUGUAGGGGCCACUAAGGAGCAGUCAAAUCACACAGUAAGUUAGUCGGAAGAAGCAACCAUCAUUUCACUCUUGAAUGACACAUACGCAAUAUAAAAUGGUUGACAUGGAGAGAAAAAGAAAACCGCUAUGUAUACACUAGCAGGAGCCUAAGCUACAAGCCUGCUUGCUUAGGUUGCUCUCUUCACAAGCAUAGAACGACGGGCCUUAUCCCGCAGCUGGGGGAAGGGAACAAUGUUCUGCGUAGACGCAGUCGACAUCGGCAAGGGAGAAAACCCACAGUCGGUGCGUCCCAAUCGGGGGUCACCGCGGUAUGGGCCGAUGCCGCGUACCAACCGCCCUUCUAGCUACAGCCCGACGUCCCAGGUAGUCCAUCUUCCUUUUGGAGCCGGCUUGCUCCACUGCCGUAGCUCCAUCUCCAUGUCGAUCUUUCUCUACUUCUACCUGAAGGAAAUAUGCCCUAGAGGCAAUAAUAAAGUUAUUAUUUAUUUCCUUGUAUCAUGAUAAAUGGUUAUUAUUCAUGCUAGAAUUGUAUUAACCGGAAACAUAAUACAUGUGUGAAUACAUAGACAAACAGAGUGUCACUAGUAUGCCUCUACUUGACUAGCUCGUUAAUCAAAGAUGGUUAUGUUUCCUAGCCAUAGACAUGAGUUGUCAUUUGAUUAACGGGAUCACCUCAUUAGGAGAAUGACGUGAUUGACUUGACCCAUUCCGUUAGCUUAGCACCCGAUCGUAUAGUAUGUUGCUAUUGCUUUCUUCAUGACUUAUACAUGUUCCUAUGACUAUGAGAUUAUGCAACUCCCGUUUACCGGAGGAACACUUUGUGUGCUACCAAAUGUCACAACGUAAAUGGGUGAUUAUAAAGGUGCUCUACAGGUGUCUCCAAAGGUACUUGUUGGGUUGGCGUAUUUCGAGAUUAGGAUUUGUCACUCCGAUUGUCGGAGAGGUAUCUCUGGGCCCACUCGGUAAUGCACAUCACUAUAAGCCUUGCAAGCAUUGUGACUAAUGAGUUAGUUGCGGGAUGAUGUAUUACGGAACGAGUAAAGAGACUUGCCGGUAACGAGAUUGAACUAGGUAUCGAGAUACCGACGAUCAAAUCUCGGGCAAAUAACAUACCGCUGACAAAGGGUACAAUGUAUGUUGUUAUGCGGUCUGACCGAUAAAGAUCUUCGUAGAAUAUGUGGGAGCCAAUAUGGACAUCCAGGUCCCGCUAUUGGUUAUUGACCGAGACGUGUCUCGGUCAUGUCUACAUAGUUCUCGAACCCGUAGGGUCCGCACGCUUAACGUUACGAUGACAGUUUUAUUGAGUUUUGAUGUACCGAAAGAGUUUGGAGUCCCGGAUGAGAUCGGGGAUAUGACAAGGAGUCUCGAAAUGGUCGAGACGUAAAAAUCGAUAUAUUGGACGACUAUAUUCGGACUUCGGAAAGGUUCCGAGUGAUUCGGGUAUUUUUCGGAGUACCGGAGAGUUACGGGAAUUCGUAUUGGGCCUUAAUGGGCCAUACGGGAAAGGAGAGAAAGGCCUCAAAAGGUGGCUGCGCCCCUCCCCUUGGUCUGGUCCGAAUUGGACUAGGGAAGGGGGGCGCCUCCUUCCUUCCUUCUCUUUUUCCCUUCCCCUUUUCCUAUUCCAUGUGGGAGGAGGAAUCCUACUAGGACUAGGGAGUCCUAGUAGGACUCCAACCUUCUGGCGCGCCCCAGGGGCUGGCCGGCCUCCCCUCCUCCAUCCUUUAUAUACGGGGGCAGGGGGGCACUCCAUAGACACAACAAUUGAUCCUUGAGAUCUCUUAGCCGUGUGCGGUGCCCCCCUCCACCAAAUUACACCUCGAUAAUACCGUUGCGGAGCUUAGGCGAAGCCUUGCGUCGGUGGAACAUCAUCAUCGUCACCACGCUGUCGUGCUGACGAAACUCUCCCUCAACACUCGGCUGGAUCGGAGUUCGAGGGACGUCAUCGAGUUGAACGUGUGUAGAACUCGGAGGUGCCGUGCGUUCGGUACUUGAUCGGUCGGAUCGUGAAGACGUACGACUACAUCAACCGCGUUGUGAUAACGCUUCCGCUGUCGGUCUACGAGGGUACGUGGACAACACUCUCCCCUCUCGUUGCUAUGCAUCACCAUGAUCUUGCGUGUGCGUAGGAAAUUUUUUGAAAUUACUACGUUCCCCAAUAGUGGCAUCCGAGCCUGGUUUUAUGCGUUGAUGCUAUGCACGAGUAGAACACAAGUGAGUUGUGGACGAUAUAAGUCAUACUGCUUACCAGCAUGUCAUACUUUGGUUCAGCGGUAUUGUGAGAUGAAGCAGCCCGGACCGACAUUACGCGUACGCUUACGCGAGACUGGUUUCACCGUUCGGAGCACUCGUUGCUUAAAGGUGACUGGCGGGUGUCUGUCUCUCUCACUUUAGUUGAACCGAGUGUGGCUACGCCCGGUCCUUGCGAAGGUUAAAACAGCACCAACUUGACAAACUAUCGUUGUGGUUUUGAUGCGUAGGUAAGAACGGUUCUUGCUAAGCCCUUAGCAGCCACGUAAAACUUGCAACAACAAAGUAUAGGACGUCUAACUUGUUUUUGCCGGGCAUGUUGUGAUGUGAUAUGGUCAAGACAUGAUGUGAUAUAAUUUGUUGUAUGAGAUGAUCAUGUUUUGUAACCGAGUUAUCGGCAACUGGCAGGAGACAUAUGGUUGUCGCUUUAUUGUAUGAGAUGCAAUCACCAUGUAAUAGUUUUACUUUAUCACUAAGUGGUAGCGAUAGUCGUAAAAGAAAUAAGUUGGCGAGACAACAACGAUACUACGAUGGAGAUCAAGGUGUCGAGCCGGUGACGAUGGUGAUCAUGACGGUGCUUCGGAGAUGGAGAUCACGAGCACGGUGCUUCGGAGAUGGAGAUCACAAGGACAAGAUGAUGAUGGCCAUAUCAUAUCACUUAUAUUGAUUGCAUGUGAUGUUAAUCCUUUAUGCAUCUUAUCUUGCUUUGAUUGACGGUAGCAUUAUAAGAUGAUCUCUCACUAAAAUUUCAAGAUAAAAGUGUUCUCCCUGAGUAUGCACCGUUGCAAAAGUUCUUCGUGCUGAGACACCACGUGUUAAUCGGGUGUGAUAGGCUCUACGUUCAAAUACAACGGGUGCAAAACAGUUGCACACGCGGAAUACUCAGGUUGAACUUGACGAGCCUAGCAUAUACAGAUAUGGCCUCGGAACACAGAGACCGAAAGGUCGAGCGUGAAUCAUAUAGUAGAUAUGAUCAACAUAGUGAUGUUCACCAUUGAAACUACUCCAUCUCACGUGUUAAUCGGACAUGGUUUAGUUGCUUUGGAUCACGUAAUCACUUAGAUGAUGAGAGGGAUAUCUAUCUAAGUGGGAGUUCUUUAGUAAUAUGAUUAAUUGAACUUAAAUUUAUCAUGAACUUAGUCCUGAUAGUAUUUUGCAAAUUAUGUUGUAGAUCAAUAGCUCGCGUUGUUGCUUCCCUGUUUUAUUUUUUAUAUGUUCCUAGAGAAAAUUAUGUUGAAAGAUGUUAGUAGCAGAGAUGCGGAUUGGAUCCGUGAUCUGAGGAUUAUCCUCAUUGCUGCACAGAAAAAUUAUGUCCUUGAUGCACCGCUAGGUGACAGACCUAUUGCAGGAGCAGAUGCAGACGUUAUGAACGUUUGGCUAGCUCAAUAUGAUGACUACUUGAUAGUUUAGUGCACCAUGCUUAACGGCUUAGAAUCGGGACUUCAAAGACGUUUUGAACGUCAUGGACCAUAUGAGAUGUUCCAGGAGUUGAAGUUAAUAUUUCAAGCAAAUACCCGAGUUGAGAGAUAUGAACUCUCCAACAAGUUCUAUAGCUAAAAGAUGGAGGAGAAUUGCUCAACUAGUGAGCAUGUGCUCACAUUGUCUGGGUACUACAAUCGCUUGAAUCAAGUGGGAGUUAAUCUUCCAGAUAAAAUAGUGAUUGACGGAAUUCUCUAGUCACCAUCACCAAGUUAGUAGAACGUCGUGAUGAACUAUAGUAUGCAAGGGAUGACGAAAGUAAUUCCCGAGCUCUUCGUGAUGCUGAAAUCAACGAAGGUAGAAAUCAAGAAAAACAUCAAGUGUUGAUGGUUGACGAGACCACUAGUUUCAAGAAAAGGGCAAAGGGAAGAAGGGGAACUUCAAGAAGAACGGCAAGCAAGUUGCUGCUCAAGUGAAGAAGCCUAAGUCUGGUCCUAAGCCUGAGACUAAGUGCUUCUACUGCAAAGGGACUGGUCACUAGAAGCGGAACUACCCCAACUAUUUGGUGGAUAAGAAGGAUGGCAAAGUGAACAAAGGUAUAUUUGAUAUACAGAUUAUUGAUGUGUACUUUACUAGUGUUUAUAGCGACCCCUCGGUAAUUGAUACUGGUUCAGUUGCUAAGAGUAGUAACUCGAAACGGGAGUUGCAGAAUAAACAGAGACUAGUAAAAGUGAACAAAGGUAUAUUUGAUAUACAGAUUAUUGAUGUGUACUUUACUAGUGUUUAUAGCAACCCCUCGGUAAUUGAUACUGGUUCAGUUGCUAAAGAGUAGUAACUCGAAAACGGGAGUUGCAGAAUAAACAGAGACUAGUAAAAGGCGAGGUAACGAUGUGUGUUGGAAGUAGUUCCAAGAUUGAUAUGAUCAUCAUCGCACACUCCCUGUACUUUCGGGAUUAGUGUUGAAACUAAAUAAGUGUUAUUUGGUGUUUGCGUUGAGCAUGAAUAUGAUUUGAUCAUGUUUAUUGCAAUACGGUUAUUCAUUUAAAUUAGAGAACAAUUGUUGUUCUGUUUACAUGAAUAAAACCUUCUAUGGUCAUACACACCAAUGAAAAUGGUUUGUUGGAUCUCGAUCGUAGUGAUACACAUAUUCAUAAUAUUGAAGCCAAAAGAUGCAAAAUUAAUAAUGAUAGUGCAACUUAUUUGUGGCACUGCCGUUUAGGUCAUAUUUGUGUAAAGCGCAUGAAGAAACUCCAUACUGAUGGGAUUUUGGAAUCACUUGAUUAUGAAUCACUUGAUGCUUGCGAACCGUGCCUCAUGGGCAAGAUGACUAAAACGCUGUUCUCCGGAACUAUGGAGAGAGCAACAGAUUUGUUGGAAAUCAUACAUACAGAUGUAUGUGGUCCGAUGAAUAUUGAGGCUCAUAGCAGGUAUCAUUAUUUUCUGACCUUCACAGAUGAUUUGAGCAGAUAUGGGUAUAUCUACUUAAUGAAACAAGAGUCUGAAACAUUUGAAAAGUUCAUAUAAUUUCAGAGUGAAGCAGAAAAUCAUCGUAACAAGAAAAUAAAGUUUCUACGAUCUGAUCGUGGAGAAGAGUAUUUAAGUUACGAGUUUGGCCUUCAGUUAAAACAAUGUGGAAUAGUUUCACAAAUUCAUGCCACCUGGAACACCACAGCAUAAUGGUGUGUCCGAACGUCAUAACCGUACUUUAUUGGAUAUAGUGCAAUCUAUGAUGUCUCUUACCAAUUUACCACUAAUCGUUUUGGGGGUUAUGCAUUAGAGACAGCUGCAUUCACGUUAAAUAGGGCACCAUCAAAAUCCGUUGAGAUGACGCCUUAUGAACUGUGGUUUGGCAAGAAACCAAAGUUGUCGUUUCUUAAAAUUUUGGGGUUGCGAUGCUUAUGUGAAAAAGUUUCAUCCUGAUAAGCUCAAACCUAAAUCGGAGAAAUGUGUCUUCAUAGGAUACCCAAAGGAGACAGUUGGGUACACCUUCUAUCACAGAUCUGAAGGCAAGACAUUCGUUGCUAAGUAUGGAUCCUUUCUAGAGAAGGAGUUUCUCUCGAAAGAUGUGAGUGGGAGGAAAGUAGAACUUGAUGAGGUAACUGUACCUGCUCCCUUAUUGGAUCACAGAAAUCUGUUCCUGUGACUUCUACACCAAUUAGUGAGGAAGUUAAUGAUGAUGAUCAUGUAACUUCAGAUCAAGUUACUACCAAACGUCGUAGGUAAACCAGAGUAAGAUCCGCACCAGAGUGGUACGGUAAUCCUGUUCUGGAGGUUAUGUUACUAGACCAUGACGAACCUACGAACUAUGAAGAAGCGAUGGUGAGCCCAGAUUCCGCAAAAUGGCUUGAGGCCAUGAAAUCUGAGAUGAGAUCCAUGUAUGAAGAACAAAGUAUGGACUUUGAUUGACUUGCCCAAUGAUCGGCGAGCCAUUGAGAUUAAAUGGAUCUUCAAGAGGAAGACGGACGCUGAUAGAAGUGUCACUAUCUACAAAGCUAGAAUUGUCGCAAAAAGGUUUUCGACAAGUUCAAGAUGUUGACUACGAUGAGAGUUUCUCACUCGUAUCUAUGCUUAAGUCUGUCCGAAUCAUGUGAGCAAUUGCCGCAUUUUAUGAAAUCUGGCAAAGGGAUAAACAAAACUGCAUUCCUUGAUGGAUUUAUUAAAGAAGAGUUGUAUAUGAUACAACCAGAAGGUUUUGUCAAUCCUAAAGGUUCUAACAAAAUAUGCAAGCUCCAGCGAUCCAUCAAUGGACUGGUGCAAGCAUCUCAGAGUUGGAAUAUACGCUUUGAUAAGUUGAUCAAAGCAUAUAGUUUUAUACAGACUUGCGGUGAAGCCUGUAUUUACAAAAAAAGUGAGUGGGAGCACUACAACAUUUCUGAUAAGUAUAUGUGAAUGACAUAUUGUUGAUCGGAAAUAAUGUAGAAAUAUUCUGCAAAGCAUAAAUGAGUGUUUGAAAGGAGUUUUUCAAAGAAAGACCUCGGUGAAGCUGCUUGCAUAUUGAGCAUCAAGAUCUAUAGAGAUAGAUCAAGACGCUUGAUAAGUUUUUUUCAAUGAGUACAUACCUUAAUAAGAUUUUGAAGUAGUUCAAAAUAGAACAGUCAAAGAAAGAGUUCUUGCCUGUGUUACAAGGCGUGAAAUUGAGUAAGACUCAAAACCCGACCACGGCAGAAGAUAGAAAGAGAAUGAAAGUCAUUCCCUAUGCCUUGGCCAUAGGUUCUAUAAAGUAUGCCAUGCUGUGUACCAGAUCUAUUGUAUACCCUACACUAAUUUUGGCAAGGGAGUACAAUAGUGAUCUAGGAGUAGAUCACUGGACAGCGGUCAAAAUUAUCCUUAGUGGAAUAAAGGAUAUGUUUCUCGAUUAUGGAAGUGACAAAAGGUUCAUCGUAAAGAGUUACGUCGAUGCAAGUUUUGACACUAAUCUAGAUGACUCUAAGUCUCGGUCUAGAUACAUAUUGAAAGUGGGAGCAAUUAGCUAGAGUAGCUCCAUGCAGAGCAUUGUAGACAUAGAAAUUUGCAAAAUACUUACGGAUCUGAAUAUGACAGACCCGUUGACUAAAAUUAUCUCACAAGCAAAACAUGAUCACACCUUAGUACUCUUUGGGUGUUAAUCACAUAGCGAUGUGAACUAGAUUACUGACUCUAGUAAACCCUUUGGGUGAUGGUCACAUGACGAUGUGAACUAUGGGUGUUAAUCACAUGGUGAUGUGGACUAUUCAUGUUAAAUCACAUGGCGAUGUGAACUAGAUUAUUGACUCUAGUGCAAGUGGGAGACUGAAGGAAAUAUGCCCUAGAGGCAAUAAUAAAGUUAUUAUUUAUUUCCUUAUAUCAUGAUAAAUGUUUAUUAUUCAUGCUAGAAUUGUAUUAAUCGGAAACAUAAUACAUGUGUGAAUACAUAGACAAACAGAGUGUCACUAGUAUGCCUCUACUUGACUAGCUCGUUAAUCAAAGAUGGUUAUGUUUCCUAGCCAUAGACAUGAGUUGUCAUUUGAUUAAUGGGAUCACCUCAUUAGGAGAAUGACGUGAUUGACUUGACCCAUUCCGUUAGCUUAGCACCCGAUCGUAUAGUAUGUUGCUAUUGCUUUCUUCAUGACUUAUACAUGUUCCUAUGACUAUGAGAUUAUGCAACUCCCGUUUACCGGAGGAACACUUUGUGUGCUACCAAACGUCACAACAUAAAUGGGUGAUUAUAAAGGUGCUCUACAGGUGUCUCCAAAGGUACUUGUUGGGUUGGCAUAUUUCGAGAUUAGGAUUUGUCACUCCGAUUGUCGGAGAGGUAUCUCUGGGCCCACUCGGUAAUGCACAUCACUAUAAGCCUUGCAAGCAUUGUGACUAAUGAGUUAGUUGCGGGAUGAUGUAUUACGGAACGAGUAAAGAGACUUGCCGGUAACGAGAUUGAACUAGGUAUCGAGAUACCGACGAUCAAAUCUCGGGCAAGUAACAUACCGGUGUCAAAGGGAACAACGUAUGUUGUUAUGCGGUCUGACCGAUAAAGAUCUUCGUAGAAUAUGUGGGAGCCAGUAUGGGCAUCCAGGUCCCGCUAUUGGUUAUUGACCGGAGACGUGUCUCCGUCAUGUCUACAUAGUUCUCGAACCCGUAGGGUCCGCACGCUUAACGUUACGAUGACAGUUUUAUUGAGUUUUGAUGUACCGAAAGAGUUCGGAGUCCCGGAUGAGAUCGGGGAUAUGACGAGGAGUCUCGAAAUGGUCGAGACACAAUAAUCGAUAUAUUGGACGACUAUAUUCGGACUUCGGAAAGGUUCCGAGUGAUUCGGGUAUUUUUCGGAGUACCGGAGAGUUACGGGAAUUCGUAUUGGGCCUUAAUGGGCCAUACGGGAAAGGAGAGAAAGGCCUCAAAAGGUGGCUGCGCCCCUCCCCUUGGUCUGGUCCGAAUUGGACUAGGGAAGGGGGGCGCCUCCUUCCUUCCUUCUCUUUUCCCUUCCCCUUUUCCUAUUCCAUGUGGGAGGAGGAAUCCUACUAGGACUAGGGAGUCCUAGUAGGACUCCAACCUUCUGGCGCGCCCGAGGGGCUGGCCGGCCUCCCCUCCUCCAUCCUUUAUAUACGGGGGCAGGGGGCACUCCAUAGACACCACAAUUGAUCCUUGAGAUCUCUUAGCCGUGUGCGGUGCCCCCCUCCACCAAAUUACACCUCGAUAAUACCGUUGCGGAGCUUAGGCGAAGCCCUGCUUCGGUGGAACAUCAUCAUCGUCACCGCGCCGUCAUGCUGACGAAACUCUCCCUCAACACUCAGCUGGAUCGGAGUUCGAGGGACGUCAUCGAGCUGAACGUUUGUAGAACUCGGAGGUGCCGUGCGUUCGGUACUUGAUCGGUCGGAUCGUGAAGACGUACGACUACAUCAACCGCGUUGUGAUAACGCUUCCGCUGUCGGUCUACGAGGGUACGUGGACAACACUCUCCCCUCUCGUUGCUAUGCAUCACCAUGAUCUUGCAUGUGCGUAGGAAUUUUUUUGAAAUUACUACGUUCCCCAACACUACCGGCUUCAACUUGUGAUGAGUGUAUGUCUCAUGAACUAGUGCCAGUACUAUUAUUCUAAUCACACUUCUUCAAUAUCUUUGCCAUCAGGGAUACUCAGGUCGAUUUUAGUGGAACUGCACAAAAGCAUCGUAUGAUCCAAGGGUGCCAGUCGUCUUUCCUUCGACAGGUUCUACCUGGCCAGGAAAUUAAAUCAUGUUUAGGGUUUAGGGUUUAAGUCGUAGUGACCCCAUCAGUAGUUUUUCUUUCGUACACGCUCUCACAACUUUUUUCUUUAGUUGUGAAGUAAAUAUUGGCUAUGAUCUGUGAAUCAUUGAGAUGCAUCAGCAUGCGUGUUAGUUUUCCUUUGUAUUUGAUGGAAUGUUGUAACGGGGCGACCUUGGAAUAGGAAUGAAAAUGGAGGGGAAAGUUUCCGUUUUUCCGGAGAAAAAAUGGAAACGGAGAGAAACCAACGUUUCGUUUCGUUGGAUCGCGCCAUCGAGGAAAACCAACGUUUAAAUCACGUCUGUCGUGUUCGUGUCUCACCCUCCUCCACGGCUCGACCCCACACGGUCGCUCAGCAUGCCACUCACCGCAAACCGAGUAUACGACAACUUUCCCGCCUGCUUGUCGAUGGAUCGCGCCAUGGAGUACUAGCACUACUGGAAGAGAUUGACGAGUUGGGGGGAGGAUAGCUAGCUGUAGCACGGACUCCCAAGAACUUUUUACAUGCAUGUUGUAGCCGGCUAUUGCGACCUUUGAACGCGGAGCAGCCGCGUGCACCCGGAAGUGGCACGGGCGACGCUCUCUCGGCCGGCGCGCCGCUUCAAUGCCGGCGCCAGUGAGAGGUCGCGUCCUCUCUGGCCGGGUAUGAAUGCGGCACUGACCGUUUCGGGCGGGAAGCACGUGCGGGUGAUGAAGAGGGUUCGGGUUGGUCAGGACCGGCCGUGGCAGCGGUCCGGACGUGCGCAAACAAGAGAUGUUGUACAUUAAUAUUGUUGCGUAUAUAAUUAACAACGUAAAUAAUGUGCCAGUUGGACAAAUAUGAUUGGAGAUGGAGAUGGAAAUGGAAUUUUACGUAAACACGGAUAUGCAUGUCUAUGUCUAUGUGUGUGUGCGCGACGACUCUCGCGACCUGGAAGCGGGGGCGUGUUUUUGAUCGAGUUUUCUUUCUUGGUACGUUAGAAAAAUUGUCCGCCAAUUUUUGUUUCUUUUUUCCGGGAACGCGCGUAUUCUAUUUAAAACCACUGCUAUGGAGAGAUUUUUUACUCCAUUAUAGCCUCUUGUUUGAUAGAGUUUCUCGCAUCUCGCUCUCUCACCUCUCCAUAUCAAAACAAGAUGACAGUGUCUACUCUAUCUCUCUCCUCACCGGUGGUCACAGAUCCGGCCGAAUCCCGUCCGCUGCGGGAGGUGAGGAGGCGCAGCGUUGACGUUGUCGCCGUCGGCAUUGUGAAGCUAUGUGCAUUCCUCAAUGCAAUCUCUCGGAAGGUGAUCGAUCCAGAAAUCAUACCAAGGCUAAGGAGUGAUGUGGCGCAAUGUCUUGUCAGUUUUGAGCUGGUGUUCCCACCAUCCUUCUUCAAUAUCAUGACGCACGUCCUAGUUCAUCUAGUCGACGAGAUUGUCAUUCUGGGCCCCGUAUUUCUACACAAUAUGUACCCCUUUGAGAGGUUCAUGGGAGUCCUAAAGAAAUAUGUCCGUAACCGCGCUAGGCCAGAAGGAAGCAUCUCCAUGGGCUAUCAAACAGAGGAUGUCAUUGGGUUUUGUGUUGAUUUCAUUCCUGGCCUUAAGAAGAUAGGUCUCCCUAAAUCGCGGUAUGAGGGGAGACUGACUGGAAAAGGCACGCUUGGAGGGGACUCAAGAAUAUGCAGGGAUGGAUAUUUUUGGUCUCAAGCACACUACACAGUUCUACGGAACUCUACCUUGGUGACCCCGUAUGUCGAUGAACACAAGAACAGUCUGCGCUCAAAACACCCGGAGCAGUGCGACGACUGGAUUACGUGUGAACACAUCAGGACUUUCAGCAGUUGGUUGGAAACACGUCUUAGAGGUGACAACACUGUUUGUGAUGAGCUGUACUCGUUGUCCAGGGGACCAUCUUCGAUUGUAUUGACUUACAAAGGUUACGAGAUAAAUGGGAAUACAUUUUACACGAUCGCCCAAGAUCAAAAGAGCACCAACCAAAACAGCGGUGUCCUCUUUGAUGCAGCAACUGAGAGGGGAAAGGACACAUAUUAUGGUUACAUUGUGGACAUAUGGGAACUUGACUACGGACAUGAUUUUAAGGUCCCUUUGUUUAAGUGCAAAUGGGUCAAUCUGUCAGGAGGCGGGAUACAGGUAGACCCACAGUACGGAAUGACAACAGUGGAUCUGAACAAUCUUGGGUACACAGACGAACCGUUUGCCCUUGUCAAUGAUGUGGCACAGGUUAUCUAUGUGAAGUUCAUGUCUACCAAACCGAGAAAAAGAAAAGAUAAGGAAGCGAAUACAUCAUACGACGAGCCAAAGCACCACAUAGUUCUUUCAGGAAAAAGGGACAUCGUGGGAGUGGAGGGCAAGACAGACAUGUCUGAAGAUUAUGAAAAGUUUCCUGAAAUUCCUCCCUUCAAAGUCAAGGCUGACCCAAGCAUCCUAAUAAACGAUGAAGAUUAUCCAUGGUUACGGCACAAUAAGCAAACGACACAAGCGAAGAAAAAAUGAAGACUUUCUCUCUACAACUAUUAUGAUGAUGCCUUUGAUCUAGAAUAUCAUUGCAGUUACAUGUGAAGAAAUGAAAUGCAUGUUGUAACAGACGAGUUUUCGUGUGAAAUGAUGAUACCAUGCCAAUUUGCAACCUUAUCGGAGUUCAUUUGAAAUGCUUUUCAAUUUCCGGGUCUUAUAGCUCAAAAAAGUUGUAAAUGCAUCAAAAAUAACAAAUGACGUCAGAAAGGGUUGACAAUUGUUGAUGUUGCUUUGAAUGGUGCAUUUUGAACACACAAGAAGUCUGGAGCUCAAAUAGUUCAAAAAAAUUAAAUCCCUUUGUAACAGAUGAGCUUUCGUCUGAAACCCUGAUACUUCGAAAGAGAUUGUCCGUUUUAUACACGAAGUGCAUCUAGUUGUUGCCGUAACCCUCUCAACUUUCUUGCAGAUGCUAUGUGGGUGAAAUGAUGAUACCAAGCCAAUUUUCAACCUUUUCGAAGUUCAUUUGAAAUGCUUUUCAAUUUCAGGGUCUUAUAGCUCAAAAAAAUCAGUAAAUGCAUGAAAAAUACGCAUAAAACUAUAAUAUUUGUUAUGAUCUACUAAAAAACUAAAAUCAAUUAAAAUAUUAUGUUAUGAUCAACUAAAAAAACUAUAAUAUUCUUCAAUAGCAAAAAGAAUCAACUAAAAAGAAUUUAAUAGCAAAAACAAUUUAAUAGCAAAAAAAAUUUAAAAAAAUAUUUUUGAUUAAAACAGAUAUUUAAAAUAACCUAAAAUUACCAAAUUGAGUAUAAUGAUAAAACACAGUAAUAUUAAAUAGCAGGAAAAAGAAUCACUCAAAAAUCUAUUUUUAUAGUAAAGUUAUUCAUAAAACUAGUGAUUCACAUACAUUUAAAAAAAAUUCAAAUUUCAAAACUAAUGGCACUAACAGAAAGUUUAUAAUUUUUGUUACCUAAAAGCAAAAAGAAAUCACUAAAAAACUAUAAGUAUUUAGUUUUAAGUAGAAAUAAAAAAAUAAAAAGAGAAAAAUGCCACCUACUGGGCCUCCACGGCCUGAAUACGACUAGAAACCCUACAAUGGGCCAGGAUUCAGGCCCGCAGAACGCCCAAUAGGCCCAACAGGCAUGGCAAAGUAGAGAUUAGGCCCGUAAGCCUGCAAUAGAGAGGAGCUCGAGAUGGUGGCGGCACCAAAGCUUAUAGACCACCCCGAGCCGCUCUCAACUAGCGAGGUGGGACUAAACUUCCCACCGCACCGUGCCAGCACAAGGCCUAUGGUCCCGGUUCGUGCCACCAUCCGGAACCAUAGGUUGGCUAUGGUCUCGGUUCGUGGCACCAACCGGAACCAAUGCCCACGUAUGGUCCCGGUUCGUGCCACCAACCAGGACCAUAUGCCUCUGUUUCCCGCCCUUUGGGCUGCCGAAAAUUGACCUAUGGUCCCGGUUCGUGCCACCAACCGGAACCAUAGGUGGGCAUUCGUCCCGGUUGGUGCCACGAACCGGGACCAUUGGUUUUGCUAUAUAAGGUAGUACUUGUGGAAAUUUCGCCAAAUGCUCCCAUUCCCCCCGACGCCGCCAGGCCGUUCCUCGUCGCCGUCGCCGUCGCCGCCCCGAGCCCCUGCCCCGACGCCGUCGCCGCGCCCCUGACCCGCCGUCGACGUCGUCCUCACCGUCGCCGUCACCGCCCCCGAGCCUCUCCUCCCCGAGCCCUCGCCGCGCGCGUACCCCUCCCACGAGCCCGCCGUCCUCAUCGCCGUCAUCGUCGCCGGCCUCGUCGUCGUCCUUGUCACCGGCCUCGUCGUCGUCGUCCUGCCUCGAGCCCCGAGUGAGCCCCUUCCCAUCCCGAUCUGUGCAUUGCCGCGGCUGCCGCCGCCCCUGUUUUUUUAUGUAUGUAUGUAUAUGGAUAUAUGUAUGUAUGUAUGGAUGGAUAUGCAUGUAUAUGGAUGGAUGUAUGUGCAUGUGUUCAUAGUUUUUCUGUUCAUAGUUUUUUUUGUUCAUAGUUUUUUGUUCAUAGCACUUUUAGGCUGUAUAGUUUUAUUUUUGUUCAAUGUUUAUGGUUAGAAGAGAGGAAAAAAUUGUGUUGCAAAACUUACAUUUAAGGGUUAGUUGAUUUAGUGCAUUUUAGGUUAUUAGUUCUACUCUUAGUGCAUUUUAGGAUAGUACAUUCUAGGUUAGUGGAUCGGAGAGGAAAAACUAAAAUAAUGAAAAGGAAGAAAAGAGGAAGAAGGAAGAAGUAGAAAAAGAAGGAGAGGAAAAAGGAAAAUAAGAAGAGGAAGAAGGAGAAGAAGAAGGAGAAGAAGAGGAGAGGAAGAAGUGGAGAAAUAAAUAAGAAGAGGAAAAAAAUAAAAAAAAAGAGGAGAAAAAGAAAGUCCUCUAUUCCUUUCUUCUUCUCCUCUUUUUUUUCUUCUUUUUUUUCUUCGAUCUUCUCCUCUAUUCCUUUCUUCUUCUCCUCUUUUUUUAUUCUUCUUCCUCUUCUUAUUUUUUAUCGGGUAUGUCUUUGUCGAUAUAACCCCUCCCCGAUAACUUCGACAUGAGAGGGGGGGGGUCGAUAAAUAAUAGAACUAGUUAAACAAGUUUAUUUUUAGUAAGUGCUUAGUAGUUGAACUAGUUGAUUUAAUAAAACUACUUUAUUUUACUAUAGAAGUAGUUUAUUUUUAGUAAGUACUACUUUAUUUUAUUUAUAGUAAGUGCUUAAUUAGUAGUUGAACUAGUUGAUUUAAUAAAACUACUUAAUUUUACUAUAUAGAGAAGUAGUUUAUUUUUAGUAAGUACUACUUUAUUUUAUUUAUAGUAAUUAAGUGCUUAGUAGUAGUUGAACUAGUUUAUUUAAUAAAGCUACNNNNNNNNNNNNNNNNNNNNNNNNNNNNNNNNNNNNNNNNNNNNNNNNNNNNNNNNNNNNNNNNNNNNNNNNNNNNNNNNNNNNNNNNNNNNNNNNNNNNNNNNNNNNNNNNNNNNNNNNNNNNNNNNNNNNNNNNNNNNNNNNNNNNNNNNNNNNNNNNNNNNNNNNNNNNNNNNNNNNNNNNNNNNNNNNNNNNNNNNNNNNNNNNNNNNNNNNNNNNNNNNNNNNNNNNNNNNNNNNNNNNNNNNNNNNNNNNNNNNNNNNNNNNNNNNNNNNNNNNNNNNNNNNNNNNNNNNNNNNNNNNNNNNNNNNNNNNNNNNNNNNNNNNNNNNNNNNNAUAGUAAUUAAGUGCUUAGUAGUAGUUGAACUAGUUUAUUUAAGAAAACCACUUUAUUUUACUAUAUAUAGAAGUAGUUUAUUUUUAGCAAGAAAAUUAAUAGAACUAGUUUAUUUUUUUAGUUCAAGCAAUUAUUCCUGCAUCGACGUCGACGAUGCCUAUCCGGCACCCUCGUCGUCGACUCGGCGGAGGAGGCCGGCUUGAUCAGAGGGGCCAUGCUCGAGACUGGGCUCCGCCGGGCUGGUAUUGGGAGGUGCUACCUUCCGGGGGGCGUAGGUUGGUGAGGAGCCAGCCCGUCGUUGACCCGAUCCUUGUUUGGUGGCGGUCGCGUGGGCCAGUGAUGGUGCCGAGGGUUCCGGACACCGCGGAGGUGGUAUGUCACCAUGUCAGCGAGGAGGACGAGCACAUCCGUCGCUACAUGGUUGCGUUGGAGGGCAGGUCCGACAAUACCUGGCAGGUUCUUCAGGGAUCUCACUGGAGCUAUGAUCCUGUGAUGGUUCCUUCUCUUUGGGUGUCCACGGCCCGCGCCGAUACCCGUCGGGUGCUACGGUUCUAGCUGUAUUAGCGAUGCUAUAUGUAUGAUAGUAUUGGAGGUGUAUUAGUGAUAAUAUUCGACGAUGUACGGACGCAAGAGAUGAUGUAGUUUUGCUUAUAAUUGAAUGCAUGCUAAUUUGAAUACUACUUUAUUUUACGAUUUGGUUUUGCUUAUUGAAUGCUCAAAUUAGAAAAGUACUCCUACUUUGAAAGCUAAAAUUGCAGAGCACUAUGCAAGGCGUAUGCAUUUGAUUAGUUGAUAGCUUAUAGGGUUUAUCUAAUUUAGGUUUUUAUGAACAUAGGAAAUGUCGUACUCGGACGACGAAAGUCUCCCGGGGGAGUGCGACUGGUGCCACGACGACCGAGGUCUGUGCGACAGGUUCAUUGAACUGGACGAAGAACGACGCUUCAGCAUUAAGCUCGAGGAGACCUUCGAUGUUGAAACGGUACGCAACAACGACAAGUGUUUUUUUCGUAAUUAAGCACGACUUCAACUAUAUAUUUCAACGUGUACUUAUCAUCUUUUACAAUUCGACUAGCUUAUCCCAUGCUAUGCAAGACGCUAUGUCUUGGAGAGGAUGGGUUUUGAAGACCAUGAAAGUAUGGAAACAAAGAAAAUUCACCAAAGGACCCAUCAUGGUAUGGAUUCUGAGAGCGUAACCCAUUUUGGUUGCAAAAAUUGGAAAAGCACUUUGCAAGAUGUAUGGUUUUCAUGAGGAUAUGCUUGUCACCAUGGAUCUUGGUGAUCCUGAAAUCGAGCAAAACAAUCUGCACAUUUGGGUCCUUGUUGAUACGCCUCCAAUUCUACCGCUAUGUGAGUUUCUCAAACAUAGUUAUUAACUAAUUUAUAUUGUUUAUUUCAAAAUAGUUAACAACUUAUUUCCAUUGACAGCUUAUUUUCAUUCUUCAAAGAAUGUGCGGAAGAUGGUAGACAAAACCCACUACGAUGACUGCGAAUUAUCUUAUCAGGAGAAAAAUCAUCUGAUCGCAUUUGGUACUGAUCUUGAGAAUUACAAUAUCUACAAUCAAACUCCUCAAUAUUAUGGUCAAUACGUGCCACUAGUGCACGUGUUGAACAACAGUAACUUCCAUGGAGAUACCCAGGUAAGAUUUUUUUACUAUUACGACAUCCUUGCAUCUUUUGCAUACUUCUCAAACUAGUACAUCAUUGCUAACUACGAAGUUAUUACUAUGUUUUUCAACAGAUAAUCCCGAAUGAUUGUGUGCCUCAUCUGAUGUAUCAGCAUGGUGGUCGCCUUCAUGUUUCGAACAUACUGCUGAAGAGGAACGUAGCAGAAAUUCAAAAUUUUCUACGCAUCACCAAGAUCAAUCUAUGGAGUAAUCUAGCAACGAGGGGAAGGGGAGUGCAUCUACAUACCCUUGUAGAUCGCGAUGCGGAAGCGUUGCAAGAACGCGGAUGAGGGAGUCGUACUCGUAGCGAUUUAGAUCGCGGUUGAUUCCGAUCUAAGCACCGAAGAACGGUGCCUCCGCGUUCAACACACGUGCAGCCCGGUGACGUCUCCCACGCCUUGAUCCAGCAAGGAGAGAGGGAGAGGUUGGGGAAGACUCCAUCCAGCAGCAGCACGACAGCGUGGUGGUGAUGGAGGAGCGUGGCAAUCCCGCAGGGCUUCGCCAAGCACCGCGGGAGAGGAGGAGGAGGGAGAGGGGUAGGGCUGCGCCGAAAGAGAGACGUUCUCAUGUCUUGGGCAGCCCCAAACCUCAACUAUAUAUGGGGGGGAGGGGGCUGCGCCCCUCUAGGGUUCCCACCCCAAGGGGAGGUGGCCAGCCCUAGAUCCCAUCUAAGGGGGGCGGCCAAGGGGAGGAGAGGGGGGCGCCACUAGGGUGGGCCUUAAGGCCCAUCUGGACCUAGGGUUUGCCCCCUCCCACUCUCCCAUGCGCUUGGGCCUUGGUGGGGGCGCACCAGCCCACCUGGGGCUGGUCCCCUCCCACACUUGGCCCACGCAGCCUUCUGGGGCUGGUGGCCCCACUUGGUGGACCCCCGGGACCCUCCCGGUGGUCCCGGUACAUUACCGAUAUCACCCGAAACUUUUCCGGUGACCAAAACAGGACUUCCCAUAUAUAAAUCUUUACCUCCGGACCAUUCCGGAACUCCUCGUGACGUCCGGGACUCCGAACAACAUUCGGUAACCACGUACAUACUUUCACUAUAACCCUAGCAUCAUCGAACCUUAAGUGUGUAGACCCUACGGGUUCGGGAACCAUGCAGACAUGACCGAGACGUUCUCCGGUCAAUAACCAACAGCGGGAUCUGGAUACCCAUGUUGGCUCCCACAUGUUCCACGAUGAUCUCAUCGGAUGAACCACGAUGUCGGGGAUUCAAUCAAUCCCGUAUGCAAUUCCCUUUGUCCAUCGGUAUGUUACUUGCCCGAGAUUCGAUCGUCGGUAUCCUUAUACCUUGUUCAAUCUCGUUACCGGCAAGUCUCUUUACUCGUUCCGUAACUCACAUCAUCCCGUGAUCAACUCCCUGGUCACAUUGUGCACAUUAUGAUGAUGUCCUACCGAGUGGGCCCAGAGAUACCUCUCCGUUUACACGGAGGGACAAAUCCCAGUCUCGAUUCGUGCCAACCCAACAGACACUUUCGGAGAUACGUGUAGUGCACCUUUAUAGUCACCCAGUUACGUUGUGACGUUUGGUACACCCAAAGCAUUCCUACGGUAUCCGGGAGUUGCACAAUCUAAUGGUCUAAGGAAAUGAUACUUGACAUUAGAAAAGCUCUGAGCAAACGAACUACACGAUCUUGUGCUAGGCUUAGGAUUGGGUCUUGUCCAUCACAUCAUUCUCCUAAUGAUGUGAUCCCAUUAUCAACGACAUCCAAUGUCCAUGGUCAGGAAACCGUAACCAUCUAUUGAUCAACGAGCUAGUCAACUAGAGGCUUACUAGGGACAUGGUGUUGUCUAUGUAUCCACACAUGUAUCUGAGUUUCCUAUCAAUACAAUUCUAGCAUGGAUAAUAAACGAUUAUCAUGAACAAGGAAAUAUAAUAAUAACCUAUUUAUUAUUGCCUCUAGGGCAUAUUUCCAACAGUCUCCCACUUGCACUAGAGUCAAUAAUCUAGUUCACAUCACCAUGUGAUUAACACUGACAGGUCACAUCACCAUGUGACCAACAUCUAAAGAGUUUACUAGAGUCAACAAUGUAGUUCACAUCACUAUGUGAUUAACACUCAAUGAGUUCUGGUUUGAUCAUGUUAUGCUUGCGAGAGAGGUUAUUAGUCAACGGGUCUGAACCUUUCAGAUCCGUGUGUGCUUUACGAAUAUCUAUGUCAUCUUGUGGAUGCUACCACGCGCUACUUGGAGCCAUUUCAAAUAACUGCUCUACUAUACGAAUCCGGUUUACUACUCAGAGUCAUCCGGAUUAGUGUCAAAGUUCGCAUCGACGUAACCCUUUACGACGAACUCCUUUUCACCUCCAUAAUCGAGAAAAUUCCUUAGUCCACUAGAUAUUAAGGAUAAGUUCGACCGCUGUCAUGUGAUCCAUUCCCGGAUCACUAUUGUACCCCUUGACCAACUCAUGGCAAGGCACACUUCAUGUGCGGUACACAGCAUAGCAUACUAUAGAGCCUACGUCUAAAGCAUAGGGGACGACCUUCGUCCUUUCUCUCUCUUCUGCUGUGGUCGGGUCUUGAGUCUUACUCAAUACUCACACCUUGUAACACAACCAAGAACUCC
rnacentral:lncRNA from 1 species